AGUUCGCGGUGACGGAGUACAACAAACGGUCAAAGAGCGCGUUGAAGUUCGAGAGGGUGGAGAAGGCCGAGACUCAGGUGGUUUCCGGCACCAAUUACCGGCUGAUCUUGGUCGUCAAGGACGGACCUUCGACCAAGAAAUUUGUAGCUGUCGUUUGGGAGAAGCCAUGGGAGCAUUUCAAGAGUCUCACCUCGUUUAAGCCUAUGUUUGGGGGAUGGACUCCGAUAGACCCCACGGAGAAGCACGUGAUGGAGAUCGGGCAGUUCGCGGUGACAGAGUAAUACAAACGGUCAAAGAGCGCGUUGAAGUUCGAGAGCGUGGAGAAGGCCUGGACUCAGGUGCUUUCCGGCACCAAUUACCGGCUGAUCUUGGUCGUCAAGGACGGACCUUCGACCAAGAAAUUUGAAGCUGUCGUUUGGGAGAAGCCAUGGGAGCAUUUCAAGAGUCUCACCUCGUUUAAGCCUAUGUUUGGGGGAUGGACUCCGAUAGACCCCACGGAGAAGCACGUGAUGGAGAUCGGGCAGUUCGCGGUGACAGAGUACAACAAACGGUCAAAGAGCGCGUUGAAGUUCGAGAGCGUGGAGAAGGCCUGGACUCAGGUCGUUUCCGGCACCAAUUACCGGCUGAUCUUGGUCGUCAAGGACGGACCUUCGACCAAGAAAUUUGUAGCUGUCGUUUGGGAGAAGCCAUGGGAGCAUUUCAAGAGUCUCACCUCGUUUAAGCCUAUGUUUGGGGGAUGGACUCCGAUAGACCCCACGGAGAAGCACGUGAUGGAGAUCGGGCAGUUCGCGGUGACAGAGUAAUACAAACGGUCAAAGAGCGCGUUGAAGUUCGAGAGCGUGGAGAAGGCCUGGACUCAGGUGCUUUCCGGCACCAAUUACCGGCUGAUCUUGGUCGUCAAGGACGGACCUUCGACCAAGAAAUUGUUAGCUGUCGUUUGGGAGAAGCCAUGGGAGCAUUUCAAGAGUCUCACCUCGUUUAAGCCUAUGCUUGGCGGAUGGACUCCGAUAGACCCCACGGAGAAGCACGUGAUGGAGAUCGGGCAGUUCGCGGUGACAGAGUACAUCAAACGGUCAAAGAGCGCGUUGAAGUUCGAGAGCGUGGAGAAGGCCUGGACUCAGGUGGUUUCCGGCACCAAUUACCGGCUGAUCUUGGUCGUCAAGGACGGACCUUCGACCAAGAAAUUUGAAGUUGUCGUUUGGGAGAAGCCAUGGGAGCAUUUCAAGAGUCUCACCUCGUUUAAGCCUAUGCUUGGGGAUGGACUCCGAUAGACCCCACGGAGAAGCACGUGAUGGAGAUCGGGCAGUUCGAGGUGACGGAGUGCAAUAAACGGUCAAAGAGCGCGUUGAAGUUCGAGAGCGUGGAGAAGGCCUGGACUCAGGUGGUUUCCGGCACCAAUUACCGGCUGAUCUUGGUCGUCAAGGACGGACCUUCGACCAAGAAAUUUGAAGCUGUCGUUUGGGAGAAGCCAUGGGAGCAUUUCAAGAGUCUCACCUCGUUUAAGCCUAUGUUUGGGGGAUGGACUCCGAUAGACCCCACGGAGAAGCACGUGAUGGAGAUCGGGCAGCUCGCGGUGACGGAGUACAACAAACGGUCAAAGAGCGCGUUGAAGUUCGAGAGCGUUUAGAAGGCCGAGACUCAAGUGGUUUCCGGCACCAAUUACCGGCUGAUCUUGGUCGUCAAGGACGGACCUUCGACCAAGAAAUUUGUAGCUGUCGUUUGGGAGAAGCCAUGGGAGCAUUUCAAGAGUCUCACCUCGUUUAAGCCUAUGUUUGGGGGAUGGACUCCGAUAGACCCCACGGAGAAGCACGUGAUGGAGAUCGGGCAGUUCGCGGUAACAGAGUACAACAAACGGUCAAAGAGCGCGUUGAAGUUCGAGAGCGUGGAGAAGGCCUGGACUCAGGUCGUUUCCGGCACCAAUUACCGGCUGGUCUUGGUCGUCAAGGACGGACCUUCGACCAAGAAAUUGUUAGCUGUCGUUUGGGAGAAGCCAUGGGAGCAUUUCAAGAGUCUCACCUCGUUUAAGCCUAUGCUUGGGGGAUGGAAUCCGAUAGACCCCACGGAGAAGCACGUGAUGGAGAUCGGGCAGUUCGCUGUGACAGAGUACAACAAACGGUCAAAGAGCGCGUUGAAGUUCGAGAGCGUGGAGACGGCCUGGACUCAGGUGGUUUCCGGCACCAAUUACCGGCUGAUCUUGGUCGUCAAGGACGGACCUUCGACCAAGAAAUUUGUAGCUGUCAUUUGGGAGUAGCCAUGGGAGCAUUUCAAGAGUCUCACCUCGUUUAAGCCUAUGCUUGGGGGAUGGACUCCGAUAGACCCCACGGAGAAGCACGUGAUGGAGAUCGGGCAGUUCGCGGUGACAGAGUACAACAAACGGUCAAAGAGCGCGUUGAAGUUCGAGAGCGUUGAGAAGGCUUGGACUCAGGUGGUUUCCGGCACCAAUUACCGGCUGAUCUUGGUCGUCAAGGACGGACCUUCGACCAAGAAAUUUGAAGCUGUCGUUUGAGAGAUGCCAUGGGAGCAUUUCAAGAGUCUCACCUCGUUUAAGCCUAUGCUUGGGGGAUGGACUCCGAUAGAGCCCACGGAGAAGCACGUGAUGGAGAUCGGGCAGUUCGCGGUGACAGAGUACAAUAAACGGUCAAAGAGCGCGUUGAAGUUCGAGAGCGUUGAGAAGGCUUGGACUCAGGUGGUUUCCGGCACCAAUUACCGGCUGAUCUUGGUCGUCAAGGACGGACCUUCGACCAAGAAAUUUGUAGCUGUCGUUUGGGAGUAGCCAUGGGAGCAUUUCAAGAGUCUCACCUCGUUUAAGCCUAUGCUUGGGGGAUGGACUCCGAUAGACCCCACGGAGAAGCACGUGAUGGAGAUCGGGCAGUUCGCGGUGACGGAGUACAACAAACGGUCAAAGAGCGCGUUGAAGUUCGAGAGCGUGGAGAAGGCCUGGACUCAGGUGCUUUCCGGCACCAAUUACCGGCUGAUCUUGGUCGUCAAGGACGGACCUUCGACCAAGAAAUUUGAAGCUAUCGUUUGGGAGAAGCCAUGGGAGCAUUUCAAGAGUCUCACCUCGUUUAAGCCUAUGGUUAAAUAGGGUGUUUAACAAAUAACAAAUGCAUGUAAUUGUUAAAUAAAGGAUAGGUAUACUAUUACCUAUCAAUCAUGGCAAUGUCUUAGUCUGUUUUAGUUCAACUUAUAAGAUUUCUUGAGAUGUACAAGAGAUCUUUUUGUUUACUUUUGAGCCAAGUAUUUUCCUGAAAAAGGAAAUAAAUCAAUAAAAAUUAUUGUGUGUCAACAUAUUGGUUAUAUUAGUCUAUACACGUCGGUUUUAAUUACCAUAUCUCCUCCUAAAUAUUUUACUUUUUUUGAAACAAGCUCAAAAAUUUGUUGUAUAAAAAACACUAUCACUUUCAAUCAUAACGUCCUCCUGGUCCUCCAUUGGGGAUAUUAUAGUGUGUCAUUCUGUAACCCAGAACUAUCAUUUAUUCCACCUCUACGAUAUCUUGUAAUGUUACUUGCAGCUUCAUAAGCCACAGAAACAUCAUCAAAAUCAACAAAUUGUUUUCUUUUCUUUUUUUUUAGGAAAGUAAUAAGAAAAAUAAAAGCUGCAUUAUUCUAUUUAUGAUCAAUAGAAGAAUUCAAGUGACUGGAGAAAAUUCAGAUUGUUCAAAAUGGGUUCUCAAACGAGAUAAGCCUCAGGUAGUAGACCUCACCAACAUCAAUACCAGACUCAAUCCAUUGAAUCGGUCUCGUCUUAAGCCUAACAGCUCCCUUCUAAUAUAAUCUAGUGAGAACGGUGAGGUGCUUGGUAUAUCAUACACCAAAAAUCAACGAUGCUUGGACUUUCAAGAAAAAGAGAAAAACAAAUGCAUGCACGGGGAAACGUACUAAUAAAAAGCAAAUCAUAUAAUUUACAAAUUAUUAUAGGCUUGUAGCCAUAAGAUCGAGAGAAACUAAAACAUUUCUUGCAUUUUCUGGCCAUAUUUUCUAAAUGAAGGGAUGGUCCAUUGCUGCUCUGCCAUACUGGAUCUCAAGAUGUCGUUAACAAUAGGUCUCAAGAUGUCACUAAAUUAUUGCCAGCAAAUGAUAUUUCGAGUCAAAAAAGUAUAUUCAAUUAUUGCAUAUAUGCUCCUAGGUAAUUUGCACAAUUGAAUUAUAGCUGUUAAUCUACUUAUUUACACAAUUGAUUAAUUUACGCAUCCAUUGCAAGACUUUCGCACUAGGUUUCAAUUUCAACCACAAAUCCUAGCUCUAGAUAAAAAUGAUGUGGUCGUAGAGAUUUCGAAUGUAUUCACUUUGUGAUUAACGGAAGCAUUGCUUUCAUUUGUAAGACGUUAAAUCAUCAUUUUGGUAAAGGAAAAAGAAUGAAAAAAGCUGCACUAUUUUAAAGGCCAUUUGGUAUAUGACCACUUCCCAUUGGACUUGGAGACCGGGUAAUUUUGUCAUCUCCACUCCUAGAAUCUGCUCUCAUGCUACUUGCAUGGUUCCAUCUUUGAAGUCUGGUACUGUUUUGUUUGGAAAAUACCCCACUAUAAUAUCUUCACGAAGAAAAUUGAUCCCCGUUAACUAGCGUGAUUAGCUUAGUUUCUUAAAUUCAACGUUCGUUUGGUUAAUUGUCUGUUAGUUUAGAAUUUUGAUUAGCCAAUAAAACAAUGAGUUUUAUUGUUUAAUAAGGCAAGUUGAAAUAAAUUCAAUCCUACUCACAGAAAAAUUUAAAUGACACAUAUCAUAAUCUUUUUCAUAUCUUCAGAAAAAUUAAAUCAUAAGAGGAUCAUGAACAAUUUGAUGAUGCUCUGAAAUAUAGUCUUCUGUUUUUCAAGGAAAAAAUAAGGAAGUUAAAAACAUGUUUAUCAGGUUUUUCAGAGAUCAUUUUGACGUUUUUGUUUAAAAACAUGAAAAUUGUUCUUAUUCUCGUAAAACAGAAAAAAUUAUCUGGCCGGUUAGCUAAUUAUUCUUGUUCUUCUGUUCUUUUUUAUUUGAAUUGUUUCUCCCUUUUCCAUUCAUUUUUCACUAUGAAAUUAAUUACUAAUUAAUCUACAGUUAGUUUCUCUACAGCUAAUAGGAACGUGAUUUAUGCCCGAAGACUCGCAUCUUUUUUAUUCAUUAUCUACAGUGCCUCACCUCCAAUCUAUGUAUAGGCGGACAUGCAUAUUUAUUAUAUCAAAUAAGUUAUUGAUGGAAAUUUCACUUUCGAAAUAGAGAAUUAUCCUUAAUUAAAUCUUUGUGGGCCUAAAUUCGAGUAAGAUUUAAUGAUGUAUGAUUCAAAAUUAUUGAAAUCGGACAUUUUAAACAAGAAAAAAAUAAAAAAUCUUGUUCUCUUUUUUAAAUAAUAAAUUUCAUUUUGAUGGAUUUUUAAUAUUAAAUUAGACAUUUGCUAAAUUGGCUCAAAUAUAAUAGAUCUUAGACCUUGCUUUUAAUGGAUUUAAUUAGGUUUUGGGCAUUUAAAUUAUACAACUGGAGACAGAAUUUAUAAAUAGAUAAGAUUCUAAUGUGAUUUUAAAAUAAUUUUGAACUUGAACUUGAACUUGAUGCAUUUAAUUAAUCCAGAAAGGUAAAUUUAUAAUUUCAACUUUUAAAUAAAACAUAUCCUUUGGAUUUUUUACAUAAACUAGAGGCAAUUGUACAAUAUUUACUUGACUAGUGGUAUAUAUCCCAAAUUUUUUAUCCUAAGAAAUGCCACAUCAUUUGGUUGAUGAGGAUAAUAUAAUUAAUUCACUUAGAUAUUAUAAAAAAUUAUCAACCAAUCAAUGAAUAACAUAUCAUUUUCAUUGGGAUGAAAUUUGAAAAAAAAAUUUAGGACGUCUAUCAUUACUUUAGUAAGAAAGCAUAUUAAGAUGGACUGACAUGUUUGGAUGCCCCAGCCUAAGAUGCAAGAGAUCAAUUUCUUUUGUUGUCUUGAAAUCCCUACUAUUUGACUCAACAACAUUGGCAACAUUUAACUCAUUACUACUAGAACAAAAAGAUAUCAUAGACAAAGGAUUGCUAAUGCAAUUUAUUGACUCAUACUCUAAAGAUAGAGGUAACUCAACAGCACAUUCAAUCUUGCGCUACUCAUGCACAUUAGCUCAUAUAGCCUAUCUUUAGUCACUCCUUUCAUUAGGAUUUUCACUUGGCUAAAGCAAGUAGAUUUUUGAAGCACAACAUCAAUAUCAUUAUCACGGAACAAUUUUGAGACAUUAAUAAGGUUCUUAGUAAUGCUAGGCACAGACAACGAGCUGUUUAGUUUAAUCUGUUUGUGUGGAUCAUAAGUGAGCAAUAUAGAGUAUCCAAUAUGAGAAAUCAAAAGUUUAUCACCAUUUCCAACAGUAGCUCAUCAUUACCUUGAUAUUAUGAAUUAAAGCUCAUGCUUCCAAUAGCACUGGUUGCAUGAUUUGUAGCACCAUUGUCAAGGUACCAAGCUCUACUAUUCUCACCGUCAACUGCAACCACAUAUGCUCUUCUUGGAUCUCUUCUUCUAUUUGGCUGUGGAACUGAUAUGAACCCUAUUAAGAACUAACAUGACCCUAACCAAUUUAGUCUCUAAGAUUGAAACCAAUUUUUUAUUUUUUUUAGAAGAGAUUGAAACCAAAUCUAAAAUUGAAUGGAACCGCGAUUUGAUCUCAAUGAAAGUACGAACCUUGGUAUGUGAUGACGUCACAAUUAGCUAUGGAUGAUCUUAUUGAUAAGUCAAGAGUUUGAACGCCACAGAAAUGCGAUAAAUUCAAAGGGUUAGUUUAAGAACCAAAGAGAAUUAGCUUUCUCACCAAUUGCAUCAAAAUUGAUGCCUUUCUUAUUGGAUACGAGUACAUUAGAUAGGGUUGGUUUAUAAGAAUUUUAAGAAAUAAAUCCUAAACCAAAAUCAAAUCAGAAUCCUAAUUUAAAGCAAAUAAUGAAAGAAACUAAAUCAAACCAGAAUCCUUAUUGGCUUAAAUGCCUUGCAUCAAUUAAAAAUGGAAACAAGGCAAUUAAAAGAGAAAUAAUUGAUUCGUUUUGCCACUUGCCUACUCAAGAAAUGGGAAAGUAUCCUAAAAGGAAAGUAGUAUAUUUUCCAAACGAGAAAACAUCUGAUAAGGUAAAUAAUGUAUUUUCUAGCCAUAAUGUGCAAACCAACUUGCUGAUUUUAUGGAAAUGAUUAUGUGGAAACUUAAAAAGCCUGAAUCACGUAUUUAGUGGUCUGAAUAUCAUGUGCGCUUUCUUCAACGGGCCUCCACGAAUUUGAUUGAGCUCAAGUUGCUUAAAUCAACCCAUUAAGCGAUUUUUUGAAUUUUUUUGCACGAGCUCUUGUGAUGGGUCCAACAGGAACUUGAAUGGGAUAUGAAUAUACCUCAUCCCAUGUGCUUGUGACAGUUUUGUCCUCAAUAUCAUAUUUUUUCCUUCAAAGAAACAAUUUUGCUUCAUAUGGAAAAGGAAAUUCUUAUGUAGCCUUACAUGAUUUAUACAUAAACUCAUAAUAUUUGUGUAGUCCUUCAUGAACAUGUGAAAUAUACACUUAUAUAGUGAAUCCUUCAUGAACAAGAUGUUAGUGAAUAACAUCAUAAUUUUGGAAUAGUCUUUCAGGAACAUAUUUUGAAAGAAAAUCUUCAUUAUGUAUAGUGCGAUCCUUAGAGAUGCAUUCUUAAUUUUCUUUCAUUAUAUAUUAUAAUAUUCAUACUUUAGGAUGAAUAUUUUGAAUUUCAAGAAUAGAAAAUAUAUAAUAGCAAUUGAAUAUUAUAAUAUAAAAAAUCAAACAAUAACAAAAUCAAUCAAUGGAACAUUAAAUAAAUGUUGGAAUCCAAAUCUCAUAAAAUAUAUGUAAUCAUUAAUAAAGGAAGUAUUAGAACAAGAAUCAAUCGGUCCUUGAUCUUAGCCACUAACUUAGCAUAUUGUAAUAUUCAUUCUCCUUUAUAUUCUUUCCUUUUCUAUUAUUUGACCGUUUGGUACUUGCCUUAGAUGAUUCUAGUAUUUUUGUAUAUAAGGAUCUUGUACACAGCAACAAAUAUAUAUGAGCAUUUCCACAAUUCUUUACAUGGUAUCAGAGAAAAUUUUGCUCAUUUAUGCUUUUCUCUUUGACAAUCAUGUCUAGUAGUUUGAAUCCAAUAUCAGAAACAUCAAAUUCCCUCAUUACCGAUGCUUCUUCACCAUACUUUCUUCAUUCAUCUGAUCAUCCUGGAGCCAUUCUUGUAUCUAAUGUGCUAACAGGUGAUAAUUAUUCAACAUGGAAAAUAUCCAUGAAGAUGGCAUUAAAUGCCAAAAACAAAUUGGGUUUUAUUGAUGGAAGCAUACAAAAACCUUCAUCAACCUCACAAGAUUUAAAAACUUGGGAGCGAUGCAAUGACAUGGUCCUUUCAUGGAUGCUCAAUGGAAUAGAGAAAAAUCUUGCCAACAGCCUCAUUUAUUGUGAUACUCCACGCUCUCUUUGGCUUGGGUUGGAAGAACGUUUUUCACAAAGUAAUAAUCCACGGAUUUAUGAACUUAAGAGAGCCAUAUGCAAUCACUAGCAAGAGCAAAAAUCAUUAGUGAUUUAUUUUAAUACUUUGAAAUUUUAUUAGGAUGAAUUGUCCACAUUAACCACUAUUUCUUCUUGCAAGUGUGAAACUUCAUAUGAAUUGCAGGGAUUACUAGAGACUGAAAAGGUGUUUCAAUUCCUAAUGGGUCUCAAUGAUUCAUAUUCUUCGGUACGAAGUCAAAUCUUAGCCAUGGAACCACUUCCAAAUGUUGGAAAAACAUAUUCAAUUAUUCAUCAGGAAGAACGUCAACGACUUCUCCAUGUUUCCAGUCAACCAUCCAUUGAAUCAACAGCCUUGACAGCCAAUAAUAAGACUCAAAUGACCAGCUGUCAAAAUCAUUCACAUCCUAGCCAUUUGCAUGGAGUACAAGAGACACAAGGACGGGGUAGACCUUUCUGCGAUCAUUGCCAGAAAUAUGGGCAUAUAAAAGCCAAAUGUUACAAAAUUGUUGGCUAUCCACCAAACUGGAAACAUUCAAAUCGAUCGCAUGUUGCUGCUCCUACAACCACAAAGCCACAACAACUAGAUGAUCAUCCCAUUCCAACAGACAAGAAUUCCUGGUCUACUAUCCAAAUUCCUGGUCUCACGGCUGAACAAUAUCAACAAUUAUUAUCUAUACUUUCAACAAGUGAGCAACCAUCUACUGCAAACUUAGCUGGUAAAAUCAUUCCUUUUUGCAAUUCUGCUAUUAACUCAUAUAAUAAUUCUUGGAUAAUUGAUAGUGGGGCAUCUGAUCACAUGACCCCUAAUAUUUCUUCCUUUAAAAAUUUUGUGCCCAUGUCUCAUGUCAAACCCGUGAGACUACCAAAUGGCACAACUGUUCCUACAACAAAAUGUGGAUCCAUUAAAUUAUCCUCCUCUUUGACUUUAGAUAAUGCCUUAUUGGUUCCUCAUUUUAAUUUUAAUCUAUUAUCUGUAAGCAAGCUAACCAAGGAUUUGAACUGUGCUGCUAUAUUUUUUUCCUUCAUUUUGUGUUUUUUAGGACCUUUCAACGAAGAAGCUGAUUGGAAAGGGUGAAGUUUGGGAUGGACUAUAUUAUUAUGAGCUUAUCAAUGGUCAUUCUUCCCUUCCUUCAGUAAUGAACGUUGCAACGGAACCCAAUUCCAAUCUUUGACAUUUGUGACUCGGUCACCCUUCUAAAGACCGAAUGCAGCGUUUGUCUUUUAUUUCUGAUAUUGCAUCAUUUAAUUCUUGUUGUGAAAUUUGUCAACUUUCAAAAAACACUAGAAGUUCAUUUCAAUUGAAUAAAAAUCGUUCUGAUAUGCCAUUUCAAUUAAUUUUUUGUGAUAUUUGGGGACCUCAUCGCACAUCUACAUAUACGGGAGCAUAUUAUUUUCUUACUAUUGUUGAUGACCAUACUCGUUGUACUUGGGUUUACCUCAUACGGCACAAGUUUGAAGCUUUUCAAUUAUUAAAAAAUUUUUACUUCUUGAUCAAGACACAAUUUCACACACAAAUUAAAAAAAAAAUUUGUAUUAAUCAAGGAAGUGAAUUUUUAUCAAAUCAGAUGCAAUUUUUUUCAUGAGCAUGGCAUCUUGCAUGAACACACUUGUGUUGAAACACCUCAACAAAAUGGGGUAGCAGAACGCAAGUAUCGACAUAUUUUAGAAGUUGCACGUGCAUUAUGUUUUCAAGCACAUUUACCUUUGUCUUUCUGAGGAGAUUGUGUUUUAGUUGCAACCCAUUUGAUUAAUCGUAUACCCACUCCUAAUCUUGGUGGUCAAUCACCUUAUGAAAUGCUUUUUAAGACUAAACCUCACUAUGAUCGUCUUCGUGUCUUUGGCUGUCUUUGUUAUGCUCAUACCAACAGUGCUAAUCGUCAUAAAUUUGCUCCCCGUGCUACCAAGUGUAUAUUUGUUGGUUACCCAUUUGGGUAUCUCGGAUACAAAGUUUAUGAUAUCAUUAAUAAAAAGACUUUUAUUUCUCGUGAUGUUACUUUUGUGGAAACUGAAUUCCCAUUCAAAACUAUCACCAAUCAACAAGAAAAUAGCAAUCUUUUACCUCUUCCUAUCAUACUUCCUGCCAAUGAAAAUGCACAGCUCCUUCCAACUUCUUCCAAUGAAAAGCUACUCCACCAAGGUACAUCUGAUUCAAUAGUUCUCCCUUCUCCACCUCUUCGACGAUCCCAACGACAGUCUUGUCGUCCAAAUUAUCUUCAGAAUUAUAUUUUCUCUACUGCACUUCACGGUACAUUUGGCAACUCUAUUACUUUUACUAAUCAUCCACCAUUGGUAAGUUCUUUAUAUCCAUUAUCCAAGUAUUUAUCAUAUGACAAGUUUUCUAGUGAUCAUGUAGCCUUUCUUUAAGCUAUAUCUCACGGUGUUGAACCAACUACAUAUUCUCAAGCCGUUCAACAUGCUUAUUGGCGCAAUGCUAUGGAUAUAGAGAUUAAAGCUUUGGAGCAAAGUAACACUUGGACAAUACAAGAUCUACCCCCCGGCAAGAAACCAAUUGGUUGUAAAUGAGUGUUUAAAAUUAAAAGAAAAGCUGAUGGUUCUAUUGAUAGAUACAAAGCAUGCCUUGUUGCUAAAGGAUACACACAAACUGAAGGUUUGGAUUACCAUGAGACAUUUGCACCUGUUGCAAAACUUGUGACUGUUAGAUGUGUAUUGGCAAUGGCAGCUAUUCGAGGGUGGUUAUUAUUUCAGUUAGAUGUUCAUAAUGCAUUUCUUCAUGGCGACUUGCAUGAGGAAAUUUAUAUGACCUUACCUCCAGGAGUUCGUAAACAGGGGGAGUCUUAUCAAUUUUGUCGGUUAAACAAGUCCCUUUAUGGUCUUAAGCAAGCUUUUCAAAAAUUGGUUUGAAAAAUUCUCAUCCGCUCUUAAACAAAUUGGUUACAUUCAAUCUUGUGCUGAUUCUUGUUUAUUUACUAAUAUGCACGAUUCUCAUUUUACAUUGGUGCUUGUGUAUGUUGAUGAUAUAAUAAUUGCUGGUAACCAUCUUGACACUAUAACUGCAUUGAAGAUAUUUUUACAGGCUCAAUUUCAUAUUAAAGACUUGGGAACUUUGAAAUAUUUUUUAGGAAUUGAAGUGGCUCGUUCAAAGCAAGGGAUUUUCUUAAAUCAAAGGAAAUAUGCUUUAGAUAUACUUCAAGACAGUGGACAAUUAGGCACACGGCCAUCUUCUUUUCCAAUGGAAUAAAACUUGAAGCUCUCUAACGAUCAAGGAACCCUUUGUCAAAAUCCUGACCACUACUAACCACUGUCAUAGGAUGUCUCAUCUAUUUGACAAUCACCCGGCCAGAAAUUACAUAUGCUGUGAACAUACUUAGUCAAUUUAUGCACACUCCAAGACGACCACAUUAUGAUGUUGCCCUGCGUGUCUUACGUUACAUUAGAUCUUCUCCCGGCGCUGGUAUCCUCUUGUCCUCCGCUAGCUCUUUGGAACUCUCUGCCUUCUCAGAUUCAGAUUGGGCAAGUUGCCCCAUGACCCGUCGAUCCACCACUGAAUAUAUUAUCAUGCUCGGCAACAAUCCUAUUUCUUGGAAAACCAAGAAGCAACCAUUUGUAUCGCGCUCUUCCGCUGAAGCUGAAUAUCGAGCAAUGGCGACAACAACAUGUGAAUUGGUUUGGUUGAAAACUCUACUUCAUGAUCUUCAUGUGACCCAUCCAAUGCCUAUAACUUUACAUUGUGACAAUCAAGUUGUGCUUCAUAUCGCUGCGAAUCCCAUCUUCCAUGAGCGUACCAAGCACAUAGAAAUAGACUGCCAUCUUGUUCGUGAAAAGCUUCAUGCCAAAAUCAUUUCCUUAACUUAUGUGCCUUCACGACAACAAUUGGCUGACAGUUUUACCAAAGUUCUUGGUAAAGAUCAAUUUCAAUAUCUUCUUGGCAAGUUGGGAGUUACGGAUCUUCACUUUCCAACUUGAGGGGGAGUAUUAGAACAAGAAUCAAUCGGUCCUUGAUCUUAGCCACUAACUUAGCAUAUUGUAAUAUUCAUUCUCCUUUAUAUUCUUUCCUUUUCUAUUAUUUGACUGUUUGGUACUUGCCUUAGAUGAUUAUAGUAUUUUGGUAUAUAAGGAUCUUGUACACAGCAACAAAUAUAUAUGACCAUUUCCACAAUUCUUUACAGGAAGUAAGGAACAACUUCAUAGAUCCAUUAUUCUUAAAUUAUAAAAAUACAUAAACAACAUAUGUAUAUGAUUUUAGACAAAUCAAGAUAGUUUAAUUCAUACCUUUGUGAGUGAGAUCAAAGGAGGGAUAUUAUCAUAUUACCUCUUAAUGGCUAGAGACUCGUGUUGAUAAUGUGUUAUAUCAUUUAUCAAUUGGGAGUGCAACAAUAUAGCAAGAGAAAUAAAGAAGGCAAAUAAGAGACACAAUGUUUAGAGGGGAAUUUUAUUCAAUCUCAAAUAUAUACAAAUAGGAAGCAAAGGCCUGCUUUUAUAGUGAUACAAGCAUAAAGUAGUAAGUAAUACCUCGUAAUUAUAAGAGAUGACAAUCCUCAGAUUAGGGAGAUAAUGAGAGUUAUAAAAGAUGGAAAGUUACUUGUGAGGAGAUCGAAGAUUGCUUUGAUGAACAUCCACAUAUAUUAUAAUAAUUUCAUAACAUACAUUUACUUUUAAUUUAUUUUUAAGGUUAAUUGGUUAAUAAGCUUCUUGUGUAGUAGAUUGAUUAAUGUGCCCAAGAAUAUUGUUGGAUGCUAUUAUUUUAAAGGCAAAGAAAAAUAAGGCAUAAGUGUCACAUGUUCAAUAGCAGGGAUGUUUUGAGGAAUUUCUUAAAAUAAAAAGACUAAGUAGAUCUUUAGCCCAAAAUAUAGGGAUUAAGCAAGCAUUCAUCCUAUUGAAAAGCAAAGUAAACUAAUGUAACCAUAAUUGAAUAUAAAGUUAACUCUUCUAUGGCAUUAUAGAGAACAAAAGAAGGAAAAAUAUUAUUCAAAUUCAAGAUAAGAAGGUAGUUUAUUAACUGUCUAAAGUUCAAAAUUUUAUUAAUUUCAGACCUUUUUUAAAAUUUACUUAUUUGUUUUUUUGUAACUUAUGUUUGAUUUUUAGAUAUUUACAUCUGAAUAGAAAAAGUAAGAUUUUUUGACUUUUAUCUAAAUGGAAAAAGAUCUGAAUGAUUAGUAAAUAUUAUAUUCCAUAAAUAUCUCUAUAAAAUAACUUAUUUCCUAAUCUAUAAAAUAGAAUCCCCUUUUUUUAUUUUGAUUUACAAGGACGUAAAUGUCAAAGAACUAAGUUUAAGAUGUUUUUUAUUAUAAAAACAAAUAAGAUGCCACUUACAUUCAUAUAUUAAAAAAUGAAAAACAAACAUGUGAUUCAAAUUUUCGUAUUCAAACCCAUUCAAACUUGAAAAAAAUUUAGACACAUUCAAAUUUCAGACAAAAAAGACAAAUACUACUUCAAUUUUUUUUUCGCUUUGCAACUGCCCACUGCUAACCAAAUAAAAAAAGAUUUUCAAUUUGGAAUUAUGUUAUCCAACAUAUGAAGACAAUUCUUCCUUUGAACGAAUCUUUAUGAUUGUUUUCUGAACGAAUAUUGCUCUAAAUUAAAAUAUUUUAGAACAAAAAAUAGUUGAUUGCCAAAUGUACAAUAGGUACAAUUUUCUUUUUUCAGCUCUCUUUUGGAAGAGAACUAUGUCGUCCUUUAUAAUUAUUAUUUCUUGAAAGAAUACAAACUUAAAUUACUGGCUUUUUAUUUGUAAAAUCAUAUAAAAUAGACUCUUUUAAGGAAAAUAUCUCAUACCGGAGAUAAUAAUUUCUGGACUAAGAAUAUAAACUUAAAACAGCACUACUAUCAAAUUAUCUUUAAAAGAGUUCCUUGAUCAAAAGAAUUUAUUUAUCAUUUUUCACAGUUUAAAAAAAUAAAAAAAAUUACAUAGAAAUAAUUGGAAGAUUUCCUAAAUAAGCAUCAAAUAAAUGCUAAUUUAUUGCAUGAUACUUGGAAGAAACCAUAAAUAAAAAUUAAGGAUUUAUAAUUUUAAAGACAAGUUGGGAGUUUAAAUUUUCUUGCCAUCUUGAGGGAGAAUAAUAAGACCGAAAUAAUAUUGAUGAAACAAAAUAAUCAAUCAAAUAUUUGAUUGUCUUCAUCUUAAUCAGUGAUCAAGAAAAAUUGGUUGUUAAUUAACAUAAAAAUUGAUUGACUCAAUAUUUACUAAUAGAUCAUUAUUCCCAAAUUAUGUUAAUUAUAUAUAUUUCAAAUACUUAUAAGAAUUGAGUUUGCUUACGGUUUAUUAAAUAUAGUCUCUUAAAAGUUUACAUGUGGCCCAUACAAAGCUAACAUUACUCUGUUAUAGCAUUUCGGGCAUCCAACAAGAUCCUCUUCUUCACUUAUUGUUAGAACUAGAGCUAACAAAUUAAUUACUUAAUCACGGCUAAGUUUGGAAUUAAAAUCAAACUAAAUUAUCUAAUUGGUUGAGUUCGGUUUCCGUUUGUAUGGGCUACAUGAAAUUUUUUCUCUCAUCUUCUCUCGUCUGCUAAUCGCAUCUUUCUCUCUUUCGACUCUCUAAUUUCUCUCUUGGAUUUGGUUACCAAGCACAUAAAAUUGAAGCCACCAUCUCGCUCAUAACAAACAACUAGUCGGAUCCACCAAACUGUUGCUGUCAUCUUGAGCCAUUCAAGUAACUUGAACACAUCAUCUUCUCGUAAAUUCUCUUUCAUUUUCGAAUUAAAGACAAGGUAAGGAUGUAAUCUUGACUUUUGUGUUUUUUGUGAUGACUACAGAAAAUGCUAUAUGAAACAAUUAGGGAUUUAUGUGCUAUAUAAUAAUAAUAAUAAUAAUAAUAAUAACAACAACAACAACAACAACAACAAGUAGUCAUUUAUGAAUUUUGAGUGAAAAAUUAGGGAUUUAUGUGCUUCUUCUUCUUCUUCUUCUUCUUCUUCUUAUUAUUAUUAUUAUUAUUAUUAUUAUUAUUAUUAUUAUUAUUAUUAUUAUUAUUUUCCCUAUAUUAAACAAGUAGUCAUUUAUGAAUUUUGAGUGAAAAAUUCACUCGGCUGUGGCAGAUUUUGUGCCUUACAAGUAGUCGAUUUCACGCAUUCAUCAUCACCAUUACUAUGUUCAUUAUUAUUUGCUAUUGUUUUUUACUUUUUCUGCUGUUAUUGAUUAAAUUGACAUUAAAUUUAUGUCUUGUCCAUUACAAGACUUAACAAUAUAAUCCAGGUGUAACAUGGACACUACAGAUGAUACAAGUGCGCAAGACCUAGUCAGAGAGCGUAGUACACUUUUUGUAAGUAUAAACUAAUUGAUAUUUUUCGAGUUGUUAUGUUAGCAACCAUUUUAAAAACACUUUUGUUUUCGAAUUUUGGUUACGUUGAAGUGAAGGGGAUUGAGUUGCCAUUAAAAAUUAAAGUAUUUUGGUCUUUAUAAACAAAGCGCUUUUGUGGAAUAGAUCUAAGAAGAUGCUAAUCUUCUUAAUAAUUUUUUUUUUUUUUAAAUUCUAUUACUCUUGGUGCAACAAAUUUCCUAGUGCCAAAACCUUGUCAUAAAAAAAAAAGAAAAAAAAAAAGAAAACAGAAAAAGAGUGAAAAUCUCUUCGGUCAACCAAAUUACUCAAAUUCGUAAAAUAAUAUAAUACUUGAACCUUAAAAAUAAAAGCUCUAUAUAUUACUAUAUAAACAGUGAUAAACACAAUUACUAUCUAAGCCCACUCGAAAUUUUAUCAUACAGUCGUAUAUUUAUCACCUUAUGUACGUAUAUUGUAAUUUGGAUACGUUAUUUAAUUGUAUUUAUAUUGUGUAUAUUUACCACAUUAUGUACGUAUAUAAAAUAUAACGUAUAUUGUGUAAACUUUACUUUUGAGCUAAGUAUUUUCCUGAAAAAGGAAAUAAAUCAAUAAAAAUUAUUGUGUGUCAACAUAUUGGUUAUAUUAGUCUAUACACGUCGGUUUUAAUUACGAUAUCUCUUCCUAAAUAUUUUACUUUUUUUGAAAGUAACUCAAAAAUUUGUUGUAUAAAAAACACUAUCACUUUCAAUCAUAUGAUGGUUACAUUUUAAUCAUUUAUUCAUAACGUCCUCCUGGACCUCCAUUGGGGAUAUUAUAGUGUGUCAUUCUGUAACCCAGAACUAUCAUUUCUUCCACCUCUACGAUAUCUUGUAAUGUUACUUGCAGCUUCAUAAGCCACAGAAACAUCAUCAAAAUCAACAAAUUGUUUUCUUUUCUUUUUUUUUAGGAAAGUAAUAAGAAAAAUAAAAGCUGCAUUAUUCUAUUUAUGAUCAAUAGAAGAAUUCAAGUGACUGGAGAAAAUUCAGAUUGUUGAAAAUGGGUUCUCAAACGAGAUAAGCCUCAGGUAGUAGACCUCACCAACAUCAGUACCAGACUCAAUCCAUAGAAUCGGUCUCGUCUUAAGCCUAACAGCUCCCUUCUAAUAUAAUCUAGUGAGAACGGUGAGGUGCUUGGUAUAUCAUACACCAAAAAUCAACGAUGCUUGGACUUUCAAGAAAAAGAGAAAAACAAAUGCAUGCACGGGGAAACGUACUAAUCAAAAGCAAAUCAUAUAAUUUACAAAUUAUUAUAGGCUUGUAGCCAUAAGAUCGAGAGAAACUAAAACAUUUCUUGCAUUUUCUGGCCAUAUUUUCUAAAUGAAGGGAUGGUCCAUUGCUGCUCCGCCAUACUGGAUCUCAAGAUGUCAUUAACAAUAGGUCUCAAGAUGUCCCUAACAAGGUGUCACUCUGAUACCGACAGGUCUACCACUUAGACAUAACACUUGCCAUGUAAAAUGUUCUCCUAUUUUUGCUAUUUCCUUCGUAUCUUGCAUUGAAUUAUUGCCAGCAAAUGAUAUUUCGAGUCAAAAAAGUAUAUUCAAUUAUUGCAUAUAUGCUCCUAGGUAAUUUGCACAAUUGAAUUAUAGCUGUUAAUCUACUUAUUUACACAAUUGAUUAAUUGUACGCAUCCAUUGCAAGACUUUCGCACUAAGUUUCAAUUUCAACCACAAAUCCUAGCUCUAGAUAAAAAUGAUGUGGUCGUAGAGAUUUCGAAUGUAUUCACUUUGUGAUUAACGGAAGCAUUGCUUUCAUUUGUAAGACGUUGUCAUCACAGAUUAAUUAAUUAAUCAUCAUUUUGGUAAAGGAAAAAGAAUGAAAAAAGCUGCACUAUUUUAAAGGCCAUUUGGUAUAUGACCACUUCGCAUUGGACUUGGAGACCGGGUAAUUUUGUCAUCUCUACUCCAAGAAUCUGCUCUCAUGCUACUUGCAUGGUUCCAUCUUUGAAGUCUGGUACUGUUUUGUUUGGAAAAUACCCCACUAUAAUAUCUUCACGAAGAAAAUUGAUCCCCGUUAACUAGCGUGAUUAGCUUAGUUUCUUAAAUUCAACGUUCGUUUGGUUAAUUGUCUGUUAGUUUUAGAAUUUUGAUUAGCCAAUAAAACAAUGAGUUUUAUUGUUUAAUAAGGCAAGUUGAAAUAAAUUCAAUCCUACUCACAGAAAAAUUUAAAUGACACAUAUCAUAAUCUUUUUCAUAUCUUCAGAAAAAUUAAAUCAUAAGAGGAUCAUGAACAAUUUGAUGAUGCUCUGAAAUAUAGUCUUCUGUUUUUCAAGGAAAAAAUAAGGAAGUUAAAAACAUGUUUAUCAGGUUUUUCAGAGAUCAUUUUGACGUUUUUGUUUAAAAACAUGAAAAUUGUUCUUAUUCUCGUAAACCAGAAAAAAUUAUCUGGCCGGUUAGCUAAUUAUUCUUGUUCUUCUGUUCUUUUUUAUUUGAAUUGUUUCUCCCUUUUCCAUUCAUUUUUCACUAUGAAAUUAAUUACUAAUUAAUCUACAGUUAGUUUCUCUACAGCUAAUAGGAACGUCAUUUAUGCCCGAAGACUCGCAUCUUUUUUAUUCAUUAUCUACAGUGCCUCACCUCCAAUCUAUGUAUAGGCGGACAUGCAUAUUUAUUAUAUCAAAUAAGUUAUUGAUGGAAAAUAUCACUUUCGAAAUAGAGAAUUAUCCUUAAUUAAAUCUUAGUGGGCCUAAAUUCGAGUAAGAUUUAAUGAUGUAUGAUUCAAAAUUAUUGAAAUCGGACAUUUUAAACAAGAAAAAAAAUAAAAAAUCUUGUUCUCUUUUUUAAAUAAUAAAUUUCAUUGUGAUGGAUUUUUAAUAUUAAAUUAGACAUUUGCUAAAUUGGCUCAAAUAUAAUAGAUCUUAGACCUUGCUUUUAAUGGAUUUAAUUAGGUUUUGGGCAUUUAAAUUAUACAACUGGAGACGGAAUUUAUAAAUAGAUAACAUUCUAAUGUGAUUUUAAAAUAAAUUUGAACUUGAACUUGAUGCAUUUUAUUAAUCCAGAAAGGUAAAUUUAUAAUUUCAACUUUUAAAUAAAACAUAUCCUUUGGAUUUUUUACAUAAACUAGAGGCAAUUGUACAAUAUUUACUUGACUAGUGGUAUAUAUCUCAAAUUUUUUAUCCUAAGAAAUGCCACAUCAUUUGGUUGAUGAGGAUAAUAUAAUUAAUUCACUUAGAUAUUAUAAAAAAUUAUCAACCAAUCAACGAAUAACAUAUCAUUUUCAUUGGGAUGGAAUUUGGAAAAAAAAAUUUAGGACGUCUAUUAUUACUUUAGUAAGAAAGCAUAUUAAGAUGGACUAACAUGUUUGGAUGCCCCAGCCUAAGAUGCAAGAGAUCAAUUUCUUUUGUUGUCUUGAAAUCCCUACUAUUUGACUCAACAACAUUGGCAACAUUUAACCAAUUACUACUAGAACAAAAAGAUAUCAUAGACAAAGGAUUGCUAAUGCAAUUUAUUGACUCAUACUCUAAAGAUAGAGGUAACUCAACAGCACAUUCAUUCUUGCUACUCAUGCACAAUAGCUCAUAUAGCCUAUCUUUAGUCACUCCUUUCAUUUGGAUUUUCACUUGGCUAAAGCAAAUAGAUUUUUGAAGCACAACAUCAAUAUCAUUAUCACGGAACAAUUUUGAGACAUUAAUAAGGUUCUUAAUAACGCUAGGCACAGACAACGAGCUAUUUAGUUUAAUCUGUUUGUGCGGAUCAUAAGUGAGCAAUAUAGAGUAUCCAAUAUGAGAAAUCAAAAGUUUAUCACCAUUUCCAAUAGUAGCUCAUCAUUACCUUGAUAUUCUAAAUUAAAGCUCAUGCUUCCAAUAGCACUGGUUACAUGAUUUGUAGCACCACUGUCAAGGUACCAAGCUCUACUAUUCUCACCGUCAACUGCAACCACAUAUGCUCUUAUUGGAUCUCUUCUUCUAUUUGGCUGUGGAACUGAUAUGAACCCUAUUAAGAACUAACAUGACCCUAACCAAUUUAGUCUCUAAGAUUGAAACCAUUUUUUUUUUUUUUAGAAGAGAUUGAAACCAAAUCUAAAAUUGAAUGGAACCGCGAUUUGAUCUCAAUGAAAGUACGAACCUUGGUAUGUGAUGACGCCACAAUCAGCUAUGGAUGAUCUGAUUGAUAAGUCAAGAGUUUGAACGCCACAGAAAUCCGAUAAGUUCAAAGGGUUAGUUUAAGAACCAAAGAGAAUUAGCUUUCUCACUAAUUGCAUCAAAAUUGAUGUCUUUCUUAUUGGAUACAAGUACAUUAGAUAGGGUUGGUUUAUAAGAAUUUUAAGAAAUAAAUCCUAAACCAAAAUCAAAUCAGAAUCCUAAUUUAAAGCAAAUAAGGAAAGAAACUAAUUCAAACCAUAAUCCUUAUUGGCUUAAAUGCCUUGCAUCAAUUAAAAAUGGAAACAAGGCAAUUAAAAGAGAAAUAAUUGAUUCGUUUUGCCACUUGCCUACUCAAGAAAUGGGAAAGUAUCCUAAAAGGAAAGUUUUUUCCAAACGAGAAACAUCUGAUAAGGUAAAUAAUAUAUUUUCUAGCCAUAAUGUGCAAACCAACUUGCUGAUUUCAUAGAAAUGAUUAUGUGAAAACUUAAAAAGCCUGAAUCACGUAUUUAGUGGUCUAAAUAUCAUGUGCGAUUUCUUCAACGGGGCUCCACGAAUUUGAUUGAGCUCAAGUUGCUUAAAUAAACCCAUUAAGCGAUUUUUUGAAUUUUUUUGCACGAGCUCUUAUGAUGGGUCCAACAAGAACUUGAAUGGGAUAUGAAUAUACCUCAUCUCAUGUGCUUGUGACAGUUUUGUCCUCAAUAUCAUAUUUUUUCCUUCAAAGAAACAAUUUUGCUUCAUAUGGAAAAGGAAAUUCAUAUGGAAAAGGAAAUUUUCCUUCAAAGAAAUAAUUUCAUAACAUACAUUUACUUUUAAUUUAUUUUUAAGGUUAAUUGGUUAAUAAGCUUUUUGUGUAGUAGAUUGAUUAAUGUGCCCAAGAAUAUUGUUGGAUGCUAUUAUUUUAAAAGCAAAGCAAAAUAAGACAUAAGUGUCACAUGUUCAAUAGUAGGGAUGUUUUGAGGAAUUUCUUAAAAUAAAAAGACUAAGUAAUCUUUAGCCCAAAAUAUAGGGAUUAAGCAAGCAUUCAUUCUAUAGAAAAGCAGAGUAAACUAAUGUAACCAUAAUUGAAUAUAAAGUUAACUCUUCUAUGGAAUUAUAGAGAACAAAAGAAGGAAAAAUAUUAUUCAAAUUCAAGAUAAGAAGGUAGUUUAUUAACUGUCUAAAGUUCAAAAUUUUAUUAAUUUCAGACCUUUUUUAAAAUUUGCUUAUUUGUUUUUUUGUAACUUAUGUUUGAUUUUUAGAUAUUUAUAUCUGAAUAGAAAAAGUAAGAUUUUUUUACUUUUAUAUAAAUGGAAAAAGGUCUGAAUGAUUAGUAAAUAUUAUAUUCCAUAAAUAUCUCUAUAAAAUAACUUAUUUCCUAAUCUAUAAAAUAGAAUCCCCUUUUUUUAUUUUGAUUUACAAGGACGUAAAUGUCAAAGAACUAAGUUUAAGAUGUUUUUUAUUAUAAAAACAAAUAAGAUGCCACUUACAUUUAGAUAUUAAAAAAUGAAAAACAAAUAUGUGAUUCAAAUUUUCGUAUUCAGACUAGAGAUGGCCAAUGGGCCGGGCGGCACGUGGCACGGCACGGGCACGGAAUGGGCACGGCACGUGUCCGUACGGCACGACACGGCACGAGCACGUUUCGGUGAGGCACGAGGCACGGCACGGCAUGCACGUGGGCUGUGCCGGGCCUAGAAUUUUAGGCACGCGGGCCUUAAAGCACGGCACGAUUAGAGAUGGGCCAAAGCACGGCACACGAAAAAGCACGUAAUAAGCACGGUUCAUUGGUGGGCUAGCACGCGGCCCGUGAGCCAUCAAUAGCACGUGGGCCAAAAUAUAUCUAAGUAAAUUUUUUUAACAAAAAGUAAAUAUAAAAUGUUAUGAAAUUAAAGUAAAAUAUCUUGAAAUUAAAUGUUUUAAUAUAUUUUUUAGCAUAGACUUCUAAAAAUUAAUUUAAAUCAUUAAAUCUUAGUUUAAAUAAAUAUUCUAAUUUUUUAUGUUUAUAAUUUAUCAAAUGAAUAAUUAAAUAUCAUGAUUUUAAUAAAUAAAUUAUAAAUAUCAUAAUUUUAUUUAUGAUAUUUAUUAAAUGAAUAAUGUUAUUUAUGAUAUUUAAUUUUAUUUAUGAUAUUUAUUUAAUUAUUUAUUUAUGUUUAUAAUUUAUUAAAUGAAUAAGUAAAUAACUAAAUAUCAUGAUUUUAAUAAAUAAAAUUAUAAAUAUCAUAAAUUUAUAAUUUAUAAAUAAAAAAUAAAUCUUUUUACAAAAUUAAUAAUAAAAUAUUUUUCAUAUGAAAUAUUUUUCAUAUUAAUAUUAAAUCAUAACUUAGUUAAUAUUUAAUAGAGAUACGUUUCAUUUGUGAAUGAAAUAUUUUUCAUAUUUAUACACAAGAAAAAAUUAUGAUAAAUUAAAAAUUACAUUUUCAUUAAAUGAAGUUAAAGUACAAUUAUAACUUGUAAGUUGUGACCUAUGAUUUGUUAUAUUAAUAUUUCGUAGUUAUGACUUAUUGUAGUGAUUAUUCGAGGAUUGUAUUUUUAAUUUUAAUUAAUUAUUAUUAUGAGCUAUGGAAUUAAAUUUAUGUAUUGUUGUGUUAUGAAUUAUGAUUGAUUAUUGUGAAAUAAAAUAUAUAGUUGUGAAAUUGUGAUAAACUAAUAAUAAAAUGUUAAUUGCUCUCUUAAUAAAAAUUAAUAUGAUUAUGAUUAUGAAUAUUAUUAUUAUUAUUAUUAUUAUUAUUAUUAUUAUUAUUAUUAUUAUUAUUAUUAUUAUUAUUAUUAUUAUGUUGGUGGGUUUAAAAAAGCACGUCAGGUAUGUGGGUUUGAAUAAAGCACGCCAGACACGUGGACUUUUUUAAGCACGCCAAAAAAACAAAGUUGAUGGGCUUUUUUUUGGGAACGGCCCACGGCACGGCACGAGCGGGCUCGUGCCGUGGGCCGUGCUGGGCUCAACUGAAAAAAAGGUAUGCACGGCACGGCACAGCCCACCACGAGCCCUUGUGGGCUGACAGUUUGCCGGCACGGCCCAUUGGCCAUAGUUAAUUCAGACCCAUUCAAACUUGAAAAAAAUUUAGACACAUUCAAAUUUCAGAUAAAAAAGACAAAUGCUACUUAAAUUUUUUUCGCUUUGCAACUGCCCACUGCUACACCAAAUAAAAAAAGAUUUUCAAUUUGGAAUUAUGUUAUCCAACAUAUGAAGACAAUUCUUCCUUUAAACGAAUCUUUAUGAUUGUUUUCUGAACGAAUAUUGCUCUAAAUUAAAAUAUUUUAGAACAAAAAAUAGCUGAUUGCCAAAUGUACAAUAGGUACAAUUUUCUUUUUUCAGCUCUCUUUUGGAAGAGAACUAUGGCGUCCUUUAUAAUUAUUAUUUCUUGAAAGAAUACAAACUUAAAUUACUGGCUUUUUAUUUGUAAAAUCAUAUAAAAUAGAUUCUUUUAAGGAAAAUAUCUCAUACCGGAGAUAAUAAUUUCUGGACUAAGAAUAUAAACUUAAAACAGCACUACUAUCAAACUAUCUUUAAAAGAGUUCCUUGAUCAAAAGAAUUUAUUUAUCAUUUUUCACAGUUAAAAAAAAUAAAAAAAAUUACAUAGAAAUAAUUUGAAGAUUUCCUAAAUAAGCAUCAAAUAAAUGCUAAUUUACUGCAUGAUACUUAGAAGAAACCAUAAAUAAAAAUUAAGAAUUUACAAUUUUAAAGACGAGCUGGGAGUUUUAAUUUUCUUGCCAUCUUGAGAGAGAAUAAUAAGACCAAAAUAAUAUUGAUGAAACAAAAUAAUCAAUCAAAUAUUUGAUUGUCUUCAUCUUAAUCAGUGAUUAAGAAAAAUUGGUUGUUAAUUAACAUAAAAAUUGAUUGACUCAAUAUUUAUUAAUAGAUCAUUAUUUCCAAAUUAUGUUAAUUAUAUAUAUUUCAAAUACUUAUAAGAAUUGAGUUUGCUUACGGUUUAUUAAAUAUAGUCUCUUAAAAGUUUUCAUGUGGCCCAUACAAAGCUAACAUUACUCUGUUAUAGCAUUUCGGGCAUCCAACAAGAUCCUCUUCUUCACUUAUUGUUAGAACUAGCGCUAACAAAUUAAUUACUUAAUCACGGCUAAGUUUGGAAUUAAAAUCAAACUAAAUUAUCUAAUUGGUUGAGUUCGGUUUCCGUUUGUAUGGGCUACACGAAAUUUUUUCUCUCAUCUUCUCUCGUCUGCUAAUCGCAUCUUUCUCUCUUUCGACUCUCUAAUUUCUCUCUUGGAUUUGGUUACCAAGCACAUAAAAUUGAAGCCACCAUCUCGUUCAUAACAAACAACUAGUCGGAUCCAUCAAACUGUUGCUGUCAUCUUGAGCCAUUCAAGUAACUUGAACACAUCAUCUUCUCGUAAAUUCUCUUUCAUUUUCAAAUUAAAGACAAGGUAAGGAUGUAAUCUUGACUUUUGUGUUUUUUGUGAUGACUACAGAAAAUGCUAUAUGGAACAAUUAGGGAUUUAUGUGCUUCUUCUUCUUCUUCUUCUUCUUCUUCUUCUUAUUAUUAUUAUUAUUAUUAUUAUUUUCCCUAUAUUAAACAAGUAGUUAUUUAUGAAUUUUGAGUGAAAAAUUCACUCGGCUGUGGCAGAUUUUGUGCCUUACAAGUAGUCGAUUUCACGCAUUCAUCAUCACCAUUACUAUGUUCAUUAUUAUUUGCUAUUGUUUUUUACUUUUUCUGCUGUUAUUGAUUAAAUUGACAUUAAAUUUAUGUCUUGUCCAUUACAAGACUUAACAAUAUAAUCCAGUUGUAACAUGGACACUACAGAUGAUACAAGUGCGCAAGACCUAGUCAGAGAGCGUAGUACACUUUUUGUAAGUAUAAACUAAUUGAUAUUUUUCGAGUUGUUAUGUUAGCAACCAUUUUAAAAACACUUUUGUUUUCGAAUUUUGGUUACGUUGAAGUGAAGGGGAUUGAGUUGCCAUUAAAAAUUAAAGUAUUUUGGUCUUUAUAAACAAAGCGCUUUUGUGGAAUAGAUCUAAGAAGAUGCUAAGAAUUGAGUUUGCUUACGGUUUGUAAUCUUGACUUUUGUGUUUUUUGUGAUGACUACAGAAAAUGCUAUAUGAAACAAUUAGGGAUUUAUGUGCUAUAUAAUAAUAAUAAUAAUAAUAAUAAUAAUAAUAAUUAUUAUUAUUAUUAUUAUUAUUAUUAUUAUUAUUAUUAUUAUUUUCCCUAUAUUAAACAAGUAGGCAUUUAUGAAUUUUGAGUGAAAAAUUCACUCGGCUGUGGCGGAUUUUGUGCCUUACAAGUAGUCGAUUUCACGCAUUCAUCAUCACCAUUACUAUGUUCACUAAAAUAUAACGUAUAUUGUGUAAACUCUACUAUAAACAAUUAAUAUUUGGUCAUAUUUCUUUUGGCAAAUAACCCCCUGGGAUUUCUUCUUUAUCGCAACAUGAAAUUGAAGAUAUUUAAAAGGUUUUGAAACGUUAUUUUUAUUGAAAGGAGUUGCCAUUUUUAAUUUUGGUUGCAAAUAAUAAUUCCUUGGUGGUUACAAUAUUUUUAAAUAUCCCCAUUAAGGCUGUAGGGGCUACAAAUCUUCAUUCUAGAUCUGUAACAUAUGACUAUGAAUUAUAUAUAAAUGAGCUAUUUUUCUUUAUCUUUGGAUAUAUUAUAUACUCUAUUGUUUUCUCCGAAACUCUACGAUAAACAAUUAAUACUUUUCUUUGCAACUUCGACAUUCAAAGACUUGGUUUAUUCUUCAGGUAAAUCGUGCUUAGGAAGAAGAGCGGCAUGAAGAUAUUUGGGUUGUAUUUUGGAGCUGCGAAAUACCGACAAUAUCCGCCCGUGGGGAGGGCUCUUUGACAUUUGGGUUGUAUUUUGGACAUUUGUUCUUCUCCAUAGUACUGGCCGGAUUCUUCAACAAUACCCUAAUACUUCUAAAGUCAAAGACAUGCUUCUCUUUCGUUGAAUAUAUUUGCAUCUCUAGGUGAAAGUUGUAAUUGGCUGAGGAAAUUUUUAUUUUUAUAGAAUGGAAGAACAGGGACUUUACGUGGAGAAAAAAUUGUAGUGGGUAUUUUCCAUAGAUAUGGCUAUACAUGUAGCAUGACGAGCUGAUGACGGGAGUUCAUUUGACGGAAUUAGCCCUUCAAUGGGUUGUCGUUAUAAACCAGAUGGCCAAUAUAAUCAUGCAGCCUAUUUCAGCAAUGUUGUUUAUUAUGAUAUUAAUUUUGUGACUCAAGAAGCUGCAAGUAACAAUAAUACAGGACACCGUACAUAUGCAAGUAAUUGUUUUGGUUGCAAAAUGCAACACUUUCUGGACCAUCUUCUGGUUAUAAUUUUGUUUUUAGUAAAAUGUAAUUUUUUUUUAUUAUAGACAUUGUAUAAUUGUUUUAAAAUUUGGUAUAGCAAUAAAUAUGAUCUAUGUUUUGGACUGGUAGGUGGUUUCUUAAAAUUCUAUCCCAAAAGUUUAUCUUAAAGUUCUAUCUUAAAUUAUGUGGUCUUUAGACUGAUUGGUGUAAUUAAUUUAAUUAAUAAAAAAGAUCAGAUCUUCUCCUAGAUAUUUUUUUCCUCCUCCUAAACUUUUAAUAAUCCAUUGAUAUGUGUCAUUAAUGAAAUUAAUAGAUAAAAAAUUAUUUUAUCUUUACCGCUUUAACCCUACCCAAUUUGUGGACCCAUUUUAUCUUCCACGUGAUUGGUAUUAUUACUUUAUUUGUCUUUUUAUGUACUAUUAUUUAUUCUGUGGACCCAUUCAUGCACCCACGUUUCGGACAUGCAAUUUAACCGUAGCCGUUAAUCUUACCUAAUCAUAUGUGCGAUAAAAAUCUGCCGUCGAUCCGUUAUAUGUAAGUACCAACCAUGCGUUAUUAUUCGAUUUGCUACGUUACAAAAUCUUAUUGAUAAGGUUUUUUCAGAGAUUUUUCUUUUAAGACUACCAUUACCUACGUUACAAAAUUAAAUUAUAAGAGGAUCUUGAUAAGGUUUUUUCAGAAACCACUUUGUAAAGUCAAAAUAAAGUCUUCGCCGUCUGCCUCCAAUGACUAACGCCCCAGGCCCUUGAUGAAAUAGAAAUCCGAGCAGUGAAGUCACACUUCUCAUUGAAAACGACUAAUAAAAAUUAAGUUGGAAACUCGAACAGUAACUAGAUAACCUUACUCUUUUAUAUUUUAAGAAUUUGUUCAGAAAAUAUUACGAUCUCUUCUAACUUAAGUUGAAAUGCCGUUUCUAUUUCUUAUUCUUAUAAAAUGUGUACUUAUCAAUAAAGUUUCUUAUAUAAAAUUUUCAACUAAGAAUGAAUCUUCUUCAUCCAAGAUGCUAAUACAGUCCUAAAGGUGGUGGUGAUGAAAGAAUGGACAUUAAACCAUUAAACUUCAUUCUCGUAGUCUCAAGCGUGGUUGCUGGUCCUCCAUAAGACCAAUAAUCUCUCCCUCCGUGACUCGUAACCAGACUGUGAUAUCACUUGUUGGACCCAGACACUUAUUGUGACUUUUUAGCAAGUCGCCAAUCACUAAAUUGGUCCAGAUUUAACAUGCUUAUUUAUGGAUCUUUCAAAUUAAAGUUUUCAUAUUCCUUUGAAAACUAAUUGGAAAUAAAAUAUAAAAAAAAAGAAUAAUAAACUAUUUAACUUCAUCCAUUUAUAAUCCUAAGGAUAUUCAUUGGGCACCCAUAAGAUCAACAGUCUUAUACUAUAAUUUAAAUUUAAUUAUGUUUUAUUGACAAAAAUUAGCUAUUAUCAUUAUGAAAUGCCCAUUUCACUGGACUAUCUUUGAUUAUAAAAUUGUUUUAGCAAUUCCAAGUGAAAUGAUAUUUUGAACGAGGAAAAGACUCAAUUAGACAUUUAGACCGGGCUGCAGUUCUGGCCUCAUUUUGUCCUGAAGCUCAGCCAUGAUCCUGCCAAAGUUUUGGAGCCAUUCUAGCCACAUUUUAUCUUACUAUUAUGCACCACAUUUACUUUUUCGAUCUUCGAGACUUCGACUGGGUCAAACAUAUCCUCAAGCUCCGCUUUAACCUUACGAAAUUUGUGCCACUUGGCCUUGUAGCUCAGUGGUGGAUCAUUACCCUCAAAGUUAAGCAUGAUUAUGAGGGCAAUGGUUCGAGUUUUUACGGACUUAAUCUCCCUCAAUUAAACAUAAUUGUGUGGAGAUUUUUUAUAACGUCUUUCUCUCUUGUGAAAUGCGAGUGGAGUAGAGAUAUCCCUCCUCCGUGAGGGGUAUUUGGAUGAGCAUGUACUUCAUAGAAUAAAAAUGUAAUUAUAUAAGUCCUAUGUAUAUAUAUCUGAUUGUAAAUAUCAAUGUAAUGACUUGUUGUCAUAGCAAUUGUAUAUAUCUCUGUGUAAUAUAGUAAUAUGAUACUUAAUCAAUUUAAAAAAAAAAAAAAACUUACGAAAUUUGUUGACCCAUUUUACCUUCACGUGAUUGGUAUUACUACUUUUGUCGACAAGGCUACGUUGCAGUUGCAGACUCAGCUGAGUACCAACAGCUUUUCCUCUCUCCUGCAACGCGUGGAUGCUCCUUGUUUGUCUUCUUAUCUGCAAUUAUUUUCUCUGUGGACCCAUUCAUGCACCCACGUCUCGAAUAUGCAAUCUAACCCACGUCUCGAAUAUGCAAUUAUUUUUUUUGUGGACCCAUUUUACCUUCACGUGAUUGGUAUUACUACUUUUGUGGACAAGGCUACGUUGCAGUUGCAGACUCUGUAUGCAACAGCUCAGUCCAAACUGGCCUUGUAUCAGCUGAGUUCCAACAGCUUUUCCUCUCUCCUGCAGCGCGUGGAUGCUCCUUGUUUGUCUUCUUAUCUGCAAUUAUUUUCUCUGUGGACCCAUUCAUGCACCCACGUCUCGAAUAUGCAAUUUAACCGUAGCCGUUAAUCAUAUCUAACUAUAUGUACGAUAAAAAUUCCGCCGUCGAUCCGCUAUAUGUAAGUACCAAUCAGGCAUUAGUUUUCUAAUAAGACUUUAUUUCUUUUAUUAGCUCAUAUUCAUCCAUGUGUUUAUCAUUCCUAGCUAAUUCGAUUAUUUAAAAUAACAAUGAUCCAUCAAUAAUUUUAUUCUUCGACCGGCUAAAAUGAUUUUUUUUAUUAUUAUUUUGAUGAGGAGGUCUCAAUAAAGUUCAAAUAAAUAAAUUUUGGUCUUUGUCUCACACUUACAUAAACAAACGAAAAAAUUAUAAAAUUAUAAAAAAAUUAAGAACCAUUGUCAAUUAUGUAAAUUCAAAUAUUUAAACAAUCAAAAUAAUUGCGGUUAGUUUUCCCCUGUAAUCAAUUAUUGGCAUCGGAUGGGAACCACGUAAUUCGUGUAAUUGAUAUAAAGCAAUCUUUGAUGAAUCGUGACCCACUUAACAAGGAUCAAUACAUUCAGAAAUGAAUUCCACUCACCAAUUGAGAUACUAGUAUUAAUAUUAUCGGGAUUUAUACUGCUCUAAAGACAAUGUUACAGAGAAGCUGCUAUAACUCUCAUGACUCUGAAUCUAAGUGUUCAAUACGAGUGUAAAGACCUAAUUGCUCUGAUACAAGAAAUCAGUCCAGUCUUGUAUUACUAAACUUAUUAGCAGAUUUUUGGCUCCCAGCUAGCACAUGGGUAGCACCUGUAACGCUGCAUCAAUUAACAAAACUGAUUUACCAGAAUUUCCAGCCCCUAUACUUUGCAUCAAUAAAUUAUGAAAUUGGACAAGAUUUGUGUGUGAUUUUAAAAUAAAUAUGAACUUGAAUUUGAUGCAUUUAAUUAAUCCAAAGAGGCAAAUUUAUAAUUUCAACUUCUAAAUAAAACAUAUCAUUUGAAUUUUAUCAGUGGUUUCUAAUAAUAACUGACAGGUCAUUAUAAUAAUUAUAAAUGUAAUAUUUAUUUUUAUAAUUAUACAGUUAUGAUCAAUGCUAUGCUGUAGUGCCGUUCCAAAGGCAACUGCUCCCACUAUUCUCUUAGCGGCUCUGCCACUAAUCGCAUUCUGGCCACAUUUUAUCUUGCUAUUAUGCACCAUAUUUAUUUUUGCAAUCUGCGAGACUGCGACUAGGAUAUGCAAUUGCUCAAGCUCCGGUUUAGUCUUAAUUUGUGGACCCAUUCUACCUCACACGUGAUUGGCAUUACUACUUUGUUUGUCUUCUUAUGUACUAUUAUUUAUUAUGUGGACCCAUUCGUGCACCCACGUUUCGAAUACACAAUUUAACCGCAGCCGCUAAUCUUACUUAAUUUAUGUACGAUAAAAGCUCCGCCGUCGAUCCGUUAUACUUAAGUACCAACCAUGAUUAUUAUUUGAUUAGCUACGUCACAAAGUCGUAUUGAUUACGAAACACCAACACCUAGGGCCUAGGCAAUAUAGACAGGUCCUAAAUUAUGAACAGACAUUUACGCUGUGGACCCAUUCAUGCAUCCCCGUUUCGAUUUUGCAAUUUAACGUAGCCGUUAAUCUUACCUAACCAUCUGUACGAGAAAAACUCCGCCGUCGAUCCGUAUAUGUAAGCACCAAGCAUGCAUUAUUAUUUUACCGAUUAUAAAGCACCGACACCCAGGGCCUAGAAUUAUAAUACUAUUUUUUUUUUGGAUUAGGACGAAAUUAUUAUUGAAUAAUAAUUAAAACAAGAAAAUCUGAAUCUUUCUAUGAUUGUAUCAACUUAUUAUGCAUGCCUAUGUUAUUGCCCGGUUGCCUAUGGUAUUGACAUCUACUACGAAGUUAGAAAUUGGUCUUAAUUAAUUAGAUGCAUUUCUCAUUUGAAUUAUUUGGAGACGUGUAUAAUACAGGUCAAGUUUUCUAAUAAGAGGUUAGUGACUUUAUUUCUUUUAUUGGCUCAUAUUGAUUUAUUUGGUUAUCAUUCCUAGCUAAUUCGGUUAUUUAUCAAUAAUUUUAUUGGACAAAUUCUUUUAUUGGUUAAAAUAAGUUUUUCUUAUUAUUGUUUUUGACGAGAAGGUCUCAAUAAAGUUGGAGUAAACAAAUUUUCAUCUAUGUCUCGCACUUACAUAAAAUAAAGGAAAAAAUUAUAAUUAUAAAUAAAUUAAGAACCAAUGUCAAUAAUGUAAAAUCAAAUAUUUAAACAAUCAAAAUUUUAUCACUUUUGAAUUUAAGACUUUUUUCUUUCAUAUGUUAGAAAAUAAAAUUUUGAUGGAAAUUUUUUUUUAAAUGAAAUUGGGAAUUAGAAAUUUUCAUUUCCAAGACUAUCUUUCAUUGGCUAUGUCCAAGACGAAACAGAUUAAAAGCAAAUUUUGUAAUUUACAAAAUUACUGUAGCAAUGAGAUGCGAAAGAAAAGACUGCACGUGAUAAUUGCGGUUAGUUUUCCCCUGUAAUCAAUUAUUGCCACCGGAUGGGAGCCACGUAAUUCGUCUAAUUGAACUGUACCCGGUUAUUCGCAAUCCACACCGGGCAAACUUGAAUCAUCUAUAUAUAUUACAUCAAAUUGUCAAACUGGAAGCAAGAACUCGAAAAAACAACUUAACUACUUUCGAACUUUGAUUCCCGUAAGCAGAGAUCUUUCUGAUUUGAAGAACAUGGAAACCACCUGCGCAGGUUUAUAGGCCAACUUUAUUUUAAUAUAUAUCGUUUAUACUUCUUAUUUUAGUAUAUGCGGUUAUAAAUUAAAUUUUUUAUAUGAAAUUUUCAGGUAAUAACUGGUCAGAGGGUCUUCUGCUUCCUCCGUUUGGCAGUAUUGCUGAUGAUGAUGUCAUGAACGACAAUCUUGAUUUUCUUAAUGUCCCCCAAUAUGGAAGAAACCCCGACUACAUGGGUUAAGUGCAGCACUGCUUUUUUUUUUUUUCUGUUUUGUUUAAUUAAAUAAAUGAUAGGUAUACUAUUACCUAUCAAUCAUGACAAUGUUUUAGUAUGGUUUAGUUCAACUUAUAAGAUUUCUUGAGACGUACAAGCAAUCUUUUUGUUUACUUUUGAGCUAAGUAUUUUCCUGAAAAAGGAAAUAAAUCAAUAAAAGUUAUUGUGUGUGUCAACAUAUUGGUUCUAUUAGUUUAUACACGUCGGUUUUAAUUACGAUCUCUCUUCCUAAAUGUUGUACUUUUUUUUGAAAUAAACUCAAAACUUUGUUGUAUAAAAAACUCUUAUCACUUUCAAUCAUAUGAUGGUUACAAUUUAAUCAUUUAUUCAUAACAUCCUCCUGGUCCUCCAUUGAGGAUAUUAAAGUGUGCCAUUCUGUAACCCAGAACUAUCAUUUCUUCCACCUCUACGAUAUCUUGUAAUGUUACUUGCAGCUUCAUAAGCCACAGAAACAUCAUCAAAAUCAACAAAUUGUUUUUUUUUUUUUUAGGAAAGUAAUAAGAAAAAUAAAAGCUGCAUUAUUUUAUUGGCCACAUUGGACUCCUAGGCCGGGUAAUCUUGUCAUCUCUACUCGUAGAGUCUUCUCCCAUGGUACUUGCAUGGUUCCAUCUUUUAACUCUAGUAGUAUUUUGUUUGGAAAAUACCCCAAUAUAAUAUCUUCAUUCAAGAAAAUUGAGGACUGAAUUUGUGGUGCUUUUAUCAUAUUAAAUUACAUUUAAUUAUCAAUAUUUAUUGACUGAAAUCAGAAGGGUGUUUGAAUCAGAUAUGAAUUCUCUCUUAAUCAAUUUUUUUUUCUAAAUUUUGUAAGAUAUUAUGGCAGAUUUCAUUUAAAUUGUUUUAUAGUUAGGAUUUAAUUUAUUUUGGGCUUUCCUUAUUGUUUGAAUCCGAUGAAUUUCAUAUCAUCUUGCUGGUGCUUCUUCUGAUCUUCUUCUCCCUCCCUCUCUCUCACUUUUUUUCUUCUCUCUCACAGACCUAAAACUUUGACGAGCAAAUUUGAAAACGAAAUAUCAGGACGGAAAAGCCUCAACAUAUUAAAAAAUUCGGAUAAUUUAACUCUCGUAGCAUUGAUGAAUUUUGGUGUUCUGAUGCGAUUCAAGUUUCUCAUAGAGCCAAAAAAUGGCAAUUCAAGCCAAUUUUUUUAUCCAUCAAUUGAAAUACAUGUUACAUAUGCAGCAGCCCGUAAUCGAAAAUAACUUAAUUUGUUUUAAAAAUUCUUUAUGUUAGACUAGAAAUGAAUCCAUUCUUGUUAUUGCGUAUCUGCAAUUUAACUUAUGCUGCUAGUUUACAAUUUAUUUUAUUCACAUAAAUGAUCGUUCCUUUUUCUUAUUCUCAAUUAAAUUUUGGUUCCUAGAAUGAUAGUUAAAAAAAUUAACAAUAAUAAUCGAUGUCGCAGAUCAAUUAUCAAAGUUUGUUUGUGUGAACAAGAAAUAUGAGAAAAAGUUUGUUAGUUAAUUGUCUCUUAGUUUUAGAAUUUUGAUUAACCAAUAAAACAACGUAUUUUAUUGUUUAAUAAAACAAGUUCAAAGUAAAUUCAAUCCUAGUCAUAUUUUGAUAUUUUUAUUACAUCGCAAUUAAAUUUAAGACAAACCACAUUUCGGCAAUUAAAUUUAAGACAAGCCACAUUCUCCACAUGAAAUAUUUUGUCGCGUCGUGAUUAAAUGAUUGAGUCUCACGUAGAAGUCUGUCACUAACCAUAUAUUUUUAUAAAUUUAUCAACACAAAAAGAAAAAAAAAAUGAAGUAUUUGAAAUUUAUCUGGGGCUAAGCAGUAACAUUGGAUGUUGCCUCGGAUGUCCUAUAUCAAGGGCCCGAUUAAUAAAAUUUUGGGCCCUAGGCAAAAUUUCUAAAUUAGCCCUUUUUAUUUAAAUGAAAGUUAAUGUGAGAUUAAUUUAAAUUUUUACGAUUAAUAUGAAUAAUUUAUUUUUUUAGAUAUAAUUCCUUUACAUAGUUUGUAUCUGUAUUAUUUCAAAGAUUUUUUUGGGUUAUGUUUAAGCAGGCUUAUUUUUGAGAGAUUAUGAAGAAUAAGAGAUUGUGUUUCAAUUGGAAAUAACAAAAAUUUCGUUGCAUAAUUUUUUUUAAGCAUUAAAGAAAUAAGUUAUUGACGGAAAUUUCACUUUCAACAUAGAGAAUAUCCAACAUUUUAAACAAGAAAAUAAAUAAAUUCUGAUUUUUUAACUGAACUAUAUAUUGAGGUGGGGCCAAAAUUUUUGGAGAGCAAAUAUAAUAACUCAAUUUCUAAAUAAUGAAUAAUGACUCAAUUUCUAAAUAAUGAAGUAAAACAUAAAUUAGGGUUUUAGUAGGAAAGUAUAUUAGAUGGGACCUUGAUUUUAGGGGAAGGCAUAGGCAGUUGCCUAAAGAGUAGAGCUUCUAACACCCCUUUUAAACUUGUAACAAACCCCAAUUUUUUGUUUUUUUAAGUCUCUUUCUUUUAUGAAAAAUACAGAAAAGGACAUAAAGUUAUAAUGAAAUUUUAAUUGAACUUCACUACUGUAUAGAAUACAUUUUGUAAACAAAUUUUUCAUAAUAAAUUUUUUAAUAAAUAAUUUAUUUCUUUGUUAUUUUGUUUUUAUCAGCAAAUUAAUUAUAAUAUCAUAGGAUUAGCAAAUAGUCAAGAUUCAAGAUUUGUUAAGCUAUUUUAAUGUAAUCAAAUUCAUAUUUUUCCUUUUAGUAAUUCUUAGUAAUAAUAGAACUAUUAUUUUAAAAGUAGGGUGAUGCAAGAAUAUUAAAACGGUGUGAAAAGCAUUACUCUUGCCUAAAUUAUUCCAAGGUUGAACCGGCGUGUCUAAUUACCACCCUCUAGAGAAAGGGGAAAUUUUUUUUUCCGAAGACAACCAUGUUUUGGGUAUUUCUACCGACACUCUACAAAAUAAAUGCUGGAAGAAAAUUAAUACUCUAUUAAUUGUUAGGGACAAAUCACACUUCCGUUGAGAAUAGACCUUCAGUUAAGUAUACCGGUUUCGACAUCCCUCGACUCUUGAGCUUUUCUUUGAAUAUAAGUUGGGUUCGUGGGUUUUUAUAUAAUAUCAGAGUUAGAAUCGUACAUAAGUGAGUCCACACUACCUUACCACAUCGAUUGAGAAUAAAUAUUGAGUUCAAUAUUAAACCUUCAACCACAAGGAUAAAACUAAUUAAGGCCCUUGAGGGGCUUCAAUACAUCCUCAACUAUUAAAUUCAUGGAAAUUCAUAUUAAUUUAAUGGAGUUGAACUUUUGGCACCCUUUGAAUAUGUCUUAAAACACAUUUUCUUUACUUAUCCCAUUAAAAUUGUAUAAAGAUUGCACACUUUCUCAUGAAAUCCCUAUGAUUCUAAAAAUAACCCUGAUUUCUUGUUAAAUAAACACCAAUGCAGAUGCGGCAAUAAAAUAGUUAAUUUAAAAAAAAAUCCCUAUCUGAGAGACAGAAAGCUAGAGGAUUUCAAUAUGGAAUAUUUAUGAUCAAUAGAAGAAUUCAAGUGACUGGAGAAAAUUCAGAUUGUUCAAAAUGGGUUCUCAAACGAGAUAAGCCUCAGGUAGUAGACCUCACCAACAUCAGUACCAGACUCAAUCCAUAGAAUCGGUCUCGUCUUAAGCCUAACAGCUCCCUUUUAAUAUAAUCUAGUGAGAACGGUGAGGUGCUUGGUAUAUCAUACACCAAAAAUCAACGAUGCUUGGACUUUCAAGAAAAAGAGAAAAACAAAUGCAUGCACGGGGAAACGUACUAAUUAAAAGCAAAUCAUAUAAUUUACAAAUUAUUAUAGGCUUGUAGCCAUAAGAUCGAGAGAAACUAAAACAUUUCUUGCAUUUUCUGGCCAUAUUUUCUAAAUGAAGGGAUGGUCCAUUGCUGCUCUGCCAUACUGGAUCUCAAGAUGUCAUUAACAAUAGGUCUCAAGAUGUCGCUAACAAGGUGUCACUCUGAUACCGACAGGUCUACCACUUAGACAUAACACUUGCCAUAUAAAAUUUUCUCCUAUUUUUGCUAUUUCCUUCGUAUCUUGCAUUGAAUUAUUGCCAGCAAAUGAUAUUUCGAGUCAAAAAAGUAUAUUCAAUUAUUGCAUAUAUGCUCCUAGGUAAUUUGCACAAUUGAAUUAUAGCUGUUAAUCUACUUAUUUACACAAUUGAUUAAUUGUGCGCAUCCAUUGCAAGACUUUCGCACUAAGUUUCAAUUUCAACCACAAAUCCUAGCUCUAGAUAAAAAUGAUGUGGUCGUAGAGAUUUCGAAUGUAUUCACUUUGUGAUUAACGGAAGCAUUGCUUUCAUUUGUAAGACGUUGUCAUCAGAGAUUAAUUAAUUAAUCAUCAUUUUGCUAAAGGAAAAAGAAUGAAAAAAGCUGCACUAUUUUAAAGGCCAUUUGGUAUAUGACCACUUCGCAUUGGACUUGGAGACCGGGUAAUUUUGUCAUCUCUACUCCAAGAAUCUGCUCUCAUGCUACUUGCAUGGUUCCAUCUUUGAAGUCUGGUACUGUUUUUUUUGGAAAAUACCCCACUAUAAUAUCUUCACGAAGAAAAUUGAUCCCCGUUAACUAGCGUGAUUAGCUUAGUUUCUUAAAUUCAACGUUCGUUUGGUUAAUUAUAUGUUAGUUUUAGAAUUUUGAUUAGCCAAUAAAACAAUGAGUUUUAUUGUUUAAUAAGGCAAUUUGAAAUAAAUUCAGUCCUACUCACAGAAAAAUUUAAAUGACACAUAUCAUAAUCUUUUUCAUAUCUUCAGAAAAAUUAAAUCAUAAGAGGAUCAUGAACAAUUUGAUGAUGCUCUGAAAUAUAGUCUUCUGUUUUUCAAGGAAAAAAUAAGGAAGUUAAAAACAUGUUUAUCAGGUUUUUCAGAGAUCAUUUUGACGUUUUUGUUUAAAAACAUGAAAAUUGUUCUUAUUCUCGUAAAACAGAAAAAAUUAUCUGGCCGGUUAGCUAAUUAUUCUUGUUCUUCUGUUCUUUUUUAUUUGAAUUGUUUCUCCCUUUUCCAUUCAUUUUUCACUAUGAAAUUAAUUACUAAUUAAUCUACAGUUAGUUUCUCUACAGCUAAUAGGAACGUGAUUUAUGCCCGAAGACUCGCAUCUUUUUUAUUCAUUAUCUACAGUGCCUCACCUCCAAUCUAUGUAUAGGCGGACAUGCAUAUUUAUUAUAUCAAAUAAGUUAUUGAUGGAAAUUUCACUUUCGAAAUAGAGAAUUAUCCUUAAUUAAAUCUUUGUGGGCCUAAAUUCGAGUAAGAUUUAAUGAUGUAUGAUUCAAAAUUAUUGAAAUCGGACAUUUUAAACAAGAAAAAAAUAAAAAAAUCUUGUUCUCUUUUUUAAAUAAUAAAUUUCAUUUUGAUGGAUUUUUAAUAUUAAAUUAGACAUUUGCUAAAUUGGCUCAAAUAUAAUAGAUCUUAGACCUUGCUUUUAAUGGAUUUAAUUAGGUUUUGGGCAUUUAAAUUAUACAACUGGAGACAGAAUUUAUAAACAGAUAAGAUUCUAAUGUGAUUUUAAAAUAAUUUUGAACUUGAACUUGAACUUGAUGCAUUUAAUUAAUCCAGAAAGGUAAAUUUAUAAUUUCAACUUUUAAAUAAAACAUAUCCUUUGGAUUUUUUACAUAAACUAGAGGCAAUUGUACAAUAUUUACUUGACUAGUGGUAUAUAUCCCAAAUUUUUUAUCCUAAGAAAUGCAACAUCAUUUGGUUGAUGAGGAUAAUAUAAUUAAUUCACUUAGAUAUUAUAAAAAAUUAUCAACCAAUCAAUGAAUAACAUAUCAUUUUCAUUGGGAUGGAAUUUGAAAAAAAAAUUUAGGACGUCUAUCAUUACUUUAGUAAGAAAGCAUAUUAAGAUGGACUGACAUGUUUGGAUGCCCCAGUCUAAGAUGCAAGAGAUCAAUUUCUUUUGUUGUCUUGAAAUCCCUACUAUUUGACUCAACAACAUUGGCAACAUUUAACUCAUUACUACUAGAACAAAAAAGAUAUCAUAGACAAAGGAUUGCUAAUGCAAUUUAUUGACUCAUACUCUAAAGAUAGAGGUAACUCAACAGCACAUUCAAUCUUGCGCUACUCAUGCACAUUAGCUCAUAUAGCCUAUCUUUAGUCACUCCUUUCAUUAGGAUUUUCACUUGGCUAAAGCAAGUAGAUUUUUGAAGCACAACAUCAAUAUCAUUAUCACGGAACAAUUUUGAGACAUUAAUAAGGUUCUUAGUAAUGCUAGGCACAUACAACGAGCUGUUUAGUUUAAUCUGUUUCUGUGGAUCAUAAGUGAGCAAUAUAGAGUAUCCAAUAUGAGAAAUCAAAAGUUUAUCACCAUUUCCAACAGUAGCUCAUCAUUACCCUGAUAUUCUGAAUUAAAGCUCAUGCUUCCAAUAGCACUGGUUGCAUGAUUUGUAGCACCAUUGUCAAGGUACCAAGCUCUACUAUUCUCACCGUCAACUGCAACCACAUAUGCUCUUCUUGGAUCUCUUCUUCUAUUUGGCUGUGGAACUAAUAUGAACCCUAUUAAGAACUAACAUGACCCUAACCAAUUUAGUCUCUAAGAUUGAAACCAAUUUUUUAUUUUUUUUAGAAGAGAUUGAAACCAAAUCUAAAAUUGAAUGGAACCGCGAUUUGAUCUCAAUGAAAGUACGAACCUUGGUAUGUGAUGACGCCACAAUCAGCUAUGGAUGAUCUUAUUGAUAAGUCAAGAGUUUGAACGCCACAGAAAUCCGAUAAAUUCAAAGGGUUAGUUUAAGAACCAAAGAGAAUUAGCUUUCUCAGCAAUUGCAUCAAAAUUGAUGCCUUUCUUAUUGGAUACGAGUACAUUAGAUAGGGUUGGUUUAUAAGAAUUUUAAGAAAUAAAUCCUAAACCAAAAUCAAAUCAGAAUCCUAAUUUAAAGCAAAUAAGGAAAGAAACUAAAUCAAACCAGAAUCCUUAUUGGCUUAAAUGCCUUGCAUCAAUUAAAAAUGGAAACAAGGCAAUUAAAAGAGAAAUAAUUGAUUCGUUUUGCCACUUGCCUACUCAAGAAAUGGGAAAGUAUCCUAAAAGGAAAGUAGUAUAUUUUCCAAACGAGAAAACAUCUGAUAAGGUAAAUAAUGUAUUUUCUAGCCAUAAUGUGCAAACCAACUUGCUGAUUUUAUGGAAAUGAUUAUGUGGAAACUUAAAAAGCCUGAAUCACGUAUUUAGUGGUCUGAAUAUCAUGUGCGCUUUCUUCAACGGGCCUCCACGAAUUUGAUUGAGCUCAAGUUGCUUAAAUCAACCCAUUAAGCGAUUUUUUGAAUUUUUUUGCACGAGCUCUUGUGAUGGGUCCAAUAGGAACUUGAAUGGGAUAUGAAUAUACCUCAUCCCAUGUGCUUGUGACAGUUUUGUCCUCAAUAUCAUAUUUUUUCCUUCAAAGAAACAAUUUUGCUUCAUAUGGAAAAGGAAAUUCUUAUGUAGCCUUAUAUGAUUUAUACAUAAACUCAUAAUAUUUGUGUAGUCCUUCAUGAACAUGUGAAAUAUACACUUAUAUAGUGAAUCCUUCAUGAACAAGAUGUUAGUGAAUAACAUCAUAAUUUUGGAAUAGUCUUUCAGGAACAUAUUUUGAAAGAAAAUCUUCAUUAUGUAUAGUGCGAUCCUUAGAGAUGCAUUCUUAAUUUUCUUUCAUUAUAUAUUAUAAUAUUCAUACUUUAGGAUGAAUAUUUUGAAUUUCAAGAAUAGAAAAUAUAUAAUAGCAAUUGAAUAUUAUAAUAUAAAAAAUCAAACAAUAACAAAAUCAAUCAAUGGAACAUUAAAUAAAUGUUGGAAUCCAAAUCUCAUAAAAUAUAUGUAAUCAUUAAUAAAGGAAGUAUUAGAACAAGAAUCAAUCGGUCCUUGAUCUUAGCCACUAACUUAGCAUAUUGUAAUAUUCAUUCUCCUUUAUAUUCUUUCCUUUUCUAUUAUUUGACCGUUUGGUACUUGCCUUAGAUGAUUCUAGUAUUUUUGUAUAUAAGGAUCUUGUACACAGCAACAAAUAUAUAUGAGCAUUUCCACAAUUCUUUACAUGGUACCAAAGAAAAUUUUGCUCAUUUAUGCUUUUCUCUUUGAAAAUCAUGUCUAGUAGUUUGAAUCCAAUAUCAGAAACAUCAAAUUCCCUCAUUACCGAUGCUUCUUCACCAUACUUUCUUCAUUCAUCUGAUCAUCCUGGAGCCAUUCUUGUAUCUAAUGUGCUAACGGGUGAUAAUUAUUCAACAUGGAAAAUAUCCAUGAAGAUGGCAUUAAAUGCCAAAAACAAAUUGGGUUUUAUUGAUGGAAGCAUACAAAAACCUUCAUCAACCUCACAAGAUUUAAAAACUUGGGAGCGAUGCAAUGACAUGGUCCUUUCAUGGAUGCUCAAUGGAAUAGAGAAAAAUCUUGCUAACAGCCUCAUUUAUUGUGAUACUCCACGCUCUCUUUGGCUUGGGUUGGAAGAACGUUUUUCACAAAGUAAUAAUCCACGGAUUUAUGAACUUAAGAGAGCCAUAUGCAAUCACCAGCAAGAGCAAAAAUCAUUAGUGAUUUAUUUUAAUACUUUGAAAUUUUAUUAGGAUGAAUUGUCCACAUUAACCACUAUUUCUUCUUGCAAGUGUGAAACUUCAUAUGAAUUGCAGGGAUUACUAGAGACUGAAAAGGUGUUUCAAUUCCUAAGGGGUCUCAAUGAUUCAUAUUCUUCGGUACGAAGUCAAAUCUUAGCCAUGGAACCACUUCCAAAUGUUGGAAAAACAUAUUCAAUUAUUCAUCAGGAAGAACGUCAACGACUUCUCCAUGUUUCCAGUCAACCAUCCAUUGAAUCAACAGCCUUGACAGCCAAUAAUAAGACUCAAAUGACCGGCUGUCAAAAUCAUUCACAUCCUAGCCAUUUGCAUGGAGUACAAGAGACACAAGGACGGGGUAGAUCUUUCUGCGAUCAUUGCCAGAAAUAUGGGCAUAUAAAAGCCAAAUGUUACAAAAUUGUUGGCUACCCACCAAACUGGAAACAUUCAAAUCGAUCGCAUGUUGCUGCUCCUACAACCACAAAGCCACAACAACUAGAUGAUCAUCCCAUUCCAACAGACAAGAAUGCAUCAUCUCAGCCUACUAUCCAAAUUCCUGGUCUCACGGCUGAACAAUAUCAACAAUUAUUAUCUAUACUUUCAACAAGUGAGCAACCAUCUACUGCAAACUUAGCUGGUAAAAUCAUUCCUUUUUGCAAUUCUGCUAUUAACUCAUAUAAUAAUUCUUGGAUAAUUGAUAGUGGGGCAUCUGAUCACAUGACCCCUAAUAUUUCUUCCUUUAAAAAUUUUGUGCCCAUGUCUCAUGUCAAACCCGUGAGACUACCAAAUGGCACAACUGUUCCUACAAUAAAAUGUGGAUCCAUUAAAUUAUCCUCCUCUUUGACUUUAGAUAAUGCCUUAUUGGUUCCUCAUUUUAAUUUUAAUCUAUUAUCUGUAAGCAAGCUAACCAAGGAUUUGAACUGUGCUGCUAUAUUUUUUUCCUUCAUUUUGUGUUUUUCAGGACCUUUCAACGAAGAAGCUGAUUGGAAAGGGUGAAGUUUGGGAUGGACUAUAUUAUUAUGAGCUUAUCAAUGGUCAUUCUUCCCUUCCUUCAGUAAUGAACGUUGCAAAGGAACCCAAUUCUAAUCUUUGGCAUUUGCGACUCGGUCACCCUUCUAAAGACCGAAUGCAGCGUUUGUCUUUUAUUUAUGAUAUUGCAUCAUUUAAUUCUUGUUGUGAAAUUUGUCAACUUUCAAAAAACACUAGAAGUUCAUUUCAAUUGAAUAAAAAUCGUUCUGAUAUGCCAUUUCAAUUAAUUUUUUGUGAUAUUUGGGGACCUCAUCGCACAUCUACAUAUACGGGAGCAUAUUAUUUUCUUACUAUUGUUGAUGACCAUACUCGUUGUACUUGGGUUUACCUCAUACGGCACAAGUUUGAAGCUUUUCAAUUAUUAAAAAACUUUUACUUCUUGAUCAAGACACAAUUUCACACACAAAUUAAAAAAAAAAUUUGCAUUAAUCAAGGAAGUGAAUUUUUAUCAAAUCAGAUGCAAUUUUUUUCAUGAGCAUGGCAUCUUGCAUGAACGCACUUGUGUUGAAACACCUCAACAAAAUGGGGUAGCAGAACGCAAGCAUCGACAUAUUUUAGAAGUUGCACGUGCAUUAUGUUUUCAAGCACAUUUACCUUUGUCUUUCUGGGGAGAUUGUGUUUUAGUUGCAACCCAUUUGAUUAAUCGUAUACCCACGCCUAAUCUUGGUGGUCAAUCACCUUAUGAAAUGUUUUUUAAGACUAAACCUCACUAUGAUCGUCUUCGUGUCUUUGGCUGUCUUUGUUAUGCUCAUACCAACAGUGCUAAUCGUCAUAAAUUUGCUCCCCGUGCUACCAAGUGUAUAUUUGUUGGUUACCCAUUUGGGUAUCUCGGAUACAAAGUUUAUGAUAUCAUUAAUAAAAAUACUUUUAUUUCUCGUGAUGUUACUUUUGUGGAAACUGAAUUCCCAUUCAAAACUAUCACCAAUCAACAAGAAAAUAGCAAUCUUUUACCUCUUCCUAUCAUACUUCCUGCCAAUGAAAAUGCACAGCUCCUUCCAACUUCUUCCAAUGAGAAGCCACUCCACCAAGGUACAUCUGAUUCAAUAGUUCUCCCUUCUCCACCUCUUCGACGGUCCCAACGACAGUCUUGUCGUCCAAAUUAUCUUCAGAAUUAUAUUUGCUCUACUGCACUUCACGGUACAUUUGGCAACUCUAUUAGUUUUACUAAUCAUCCACCAUUGGUAAGUUCUUUAUAUCCAUUAUCCAAGUAUUUAUCAUAUGACAAGUUUUCUAGUGAUCAUGUAGCCUUUCUUUCAGCCAUAUCUCACGAUGUUGAACCAACUACAUAUUCUCAAGCCGUUCAACAUGCUUAUUGGCGCAAUGCUAUGGAUAUAGAGAUUAAAGCUUUGGAGCAAAGUAACACUUGGACAAUACAAGAUCUACCCCCCGGCAAGAAACCAAUUGGUUGUAAAUGAGUGUUUAAAAUUAAAAGAAAAGCUGAUGGUUCUAUUGAUAGAUACAAAGCAUGCCUUGUUGCUAAAGGAUACACACAAACUGAAGGUUUGGAUUACCAUGAGACAUUUGCACCUGUUGCAAAACUUGUGACUGUUAGAUGUGUAUUGGCAAUGGCAGUUAUUCGAGGGUGGUUAUUAUUUCAGUUAGAUGUUCAUAAUGCAUUUCUUCAUGGCGACUUGCAUGAGGAAAUUUAUAUGACCUUACCUCCAGGAGUUCGUAAACAGGGGGAGUCUUCUCAAUUUUUUCGGUUAAACAAGUCCCUUUAUGGUCUCAAGCAAGCUUUUCGAAAAUUGGUUUGAAAAAUUCUCAUCCGCUCUUAAACAAAUUGGUUACAUUCAUUCUUAUGCUGAUUCUUGUUUAUUUACUAAUAUGCACGAUUCUCAUUUUACAUUGGUGCUUGUGUAUGUUGAUGAUAUAAUAAUUGCUAGUAACCAUCUUGACACUAUAACUGCAUUGAAGAUAUUUUUACAGGCUCAAUUUUAUAUUAAAGACUUGGGAACUUUGAAAUAUUUUUUAGGAAUUGAAGUGGCUCGUUCAAAGCAAGGGAUUUUCUUAAAUCAAAGGAAAUAUGCUUUAGAUAUACUUCAAGACAGUGGACAAUUAGGCACACGGCCAUCUUCUUUUCCAAUGGAACAAAACUGAAGCUCUCUAACAAUCAAGGAACCCUUUGUCAAAAUCCUGACCACUACUGACGACUCAUAGGAUGUCUCAUCUAUUUGACAAUCACCCGGCCAGAAAUUACAUAUGCUGUGAACAUACUUAGUCAAUUUAUGCACACUCCAAGACGACCACAUUAUGAUGUUGCCCUGCGUGUCUUACGUUACAUCAGAUCUUCUCCCGGUACUGGUAUCCUCUUGUCCUCCACUAGCUCUUUGGAACUCUCUGCCUUCUCAUAUUCAGAUUGGGUAAGUUGCCCCAUGACCCGUCGAUCCACCACUGGAUAUUUUAUCAUGCUCGGCAACAAUCCUAUUUCUUGGAAAACCAAGAAGCAACCAUUUGUAUCACGCUCUUCCGCUGAAGCCGAAUAUCGAGCAAUGGCGACAACAACAUGUGAAUUGGUUUGGUUGAAAACUCUACUUCAUGAUCUUCAUAUGACCCAUCCAAUGCCUAUAACUUUACAUUGUGACAAUCAAGCUGUGCUUCAUAUCGCUGCCAAUCCCAUCUUCCAUGAGCGUACCAAGCACAUAGAAAUAGACUGCCAUCUUGUUCGUGAAAAGCUUCAUGCCAAAAUCAUUUCCUUAACUUAUGUGCCUUCACGACAACAAUUGGCUGACAUUUUUACCAAAGUUCUUGGUAAAGAUCAAUUUCAAUAUCUUAUUGGCAAGUUGGGAGUUAUGGAUCUUCACUUUCCAACUUGAGGGGGAGUAUUAGAACAAGAAUCAAUCGGUCCUUGAUCUUAGCCACUAACUUAGCAUAUUGUAAUAUUCAUUCUCCUUUAUAUUCUUUCCUUUUCUAUUAUUUGACCGUUUGGUACUUGCCUUAGAUGAUUAUAGUAUUUUGGUAUAUAAGGAUCUUGUACACAGCAACAAAUAUAUAUGACCAUUUCCACAAUUCUUUACAGGAAGUAAGGAACAACUUAAUAGAUCCAUUAUUCUUAAAUUAUAAAAAUACAUAAACAACAUAUGUAUAUGAUUUUAGACAAAUCAAGAUAGUUUAAUUCAUACCUUUGUGAGUGAGAUCAAAGGAGGGAUAUUAUCAUAUUACCUCUUAAUGGCUAGAGACUCGUGUUGAUAAUGUGUUAUAUCAUUUAUCAAUUGGGAGUGCAACAAUAUAGCAAGAGAAAUAAAGAAGGCAAAUAAGAGACACAAUGUUUAGAGGGGAAUUUUAUUCAAUCUCAAAUAUAUACAAAUAGGAAGCAAAGGCCUGCUUUUAUAGUGAUACAAGCAUAAAGUAGUAAGCAAUACCUCGUAAUUAUAAGAGAUGACAAUCCUCAGAUUAGGGAGAUAAUGAGAGUUAUAAAAGAUGGAAAGUUACUUGUGAGGAGAUCGAAGAUUGCUUUGAUGAACAUCCACAUAUAUCAUAAUAAUUUCAUAACAUACAUUUACUUUUAAUUUAUUUUUAAGGUUAAUUGGUUAAUAAGCUUCUUGUGUAGUAGAUUGAUUAAUGUGCCCAAGAAUAUUGUUGGAUGCUAUUAUUUUAAAAGCAAAGCAAAAUAAGGCAUAAGUGUCACAUGUUCAAUAGCAGGGAUGUUUUGAGGAAUUUCUUAAAAUAAAAAGACUAAGUAGAUCUUUAGCCCAAAAUAUAGGGAUUAAGCAAGCAUUCAUCCUAUAGAAAAGCAAAGUAAACUAAUGUAACCAUGAUUGAAUAUAAAGUUAACUCUUCUAUGGCAUUAUAGAGAACAAAAGAAGGAAAAAUAUUAUUCAAAUUCAAGAUAAGAAGGUAGUUUAUUAACUGUCUAAAGUUCAAAAUUUUAUUAAUUUCAGACCUUUUUUAAAAUUUACUUAUUUGUUUUUUUGUAACUUAUGUUUGAUUUUUAGAUAUUUAUAUCUGAAUAGAAAAAGUAAGAUUUUUUGACUUUUAUCUAAAUGGAAAAAGAUCUGAAUGAUUAGUAAAUAUUACAUUCCAUAAAUAUCUCUAUAAAAUAACUUAUUUCCUAAUCUAUAAAAUAGAAUCCCCUUUUUUUAUUUUGAUUUACAAGGACGUAAAUGUCAAAGAACUAAGUUUAAGAUGUUUUUUAUUAUAAAAACAAAUAAGAUGCCACUUACAUUCAUAUAUUAAAAAAUGAAAAACAAACAUGUGAUUCAAAUUUUCGUAUUCAAACCCAUUCAAACUUGAAAAAAAUUUAGACACAUUCAAAUUUCAGACAAAAAAGACAAAUACUAGUUCAAUUUUUUUUUUCGCUUUGCAACUGCCCACUGCUAACCAAAUAAAAAAAGAUUUUCAAUUUGGAAUUAUGUUAUCCAACAUAUGAAGACAAUUCUUCCUUUGAACGAAUCUUUAUGAUUGUUUUCUGAACGAAUAUUGCUCUAAAUUAAAAUAUUUUAGAACAAAAAAUAGCUGAUUGCCAAAUGUACAAUAGGUACAAUUUUCUUUUUUCAGCUCUCUUUUGGAAGAGAACUAUGGCGUCCUUUAUAAUUAUUAUUUCUUGAAAGAAUACAAACUUAAAUUACUGGCUUUUUAUUUGUAAAAUCAUAUAAAAUGGACUCUUUUAAGGAAAAUAUCUCAUACCGGAGAUAAUAAUUUCUGGACUAAGAAUAUAAACUUAAAACAGCACUACUAUCAAAUUAUCUUUAAAAGAGUUCCUUGAUCAAAAGAAUUUAUUUAUCAUUUUUCACAGUUUAAAAAAAUAAAAAAAUUACAUAGAAAUAAUUGGAAGAUUUCCUAAAUAAGCAUCAAAUAAAUGCUAAUUUAUUGCAUGAUACUUGGAAGAAACCAUAAAUAAAAAUUAAGGAUUUAUAAUUUUAAAGACAAGUUGGGAGUUUAAAUUUUCUUGCCAUCUUGAGGGAGAAUAAUAAGACCGAAAUAAUAUUGAUGAAACAAAAUAAUCAAUCAAAUAUUUGAUUGUCUUCAUCUUAAUCAGUGAUCAAGAAAAAUUGGUUGUUAAUUAACAUAAAAAUUGAUUGACUCAAUAUUUACUAAUAGAUCAUUAUUCCCAAAUUAUGUUAAUUAUAUAUAUUUCAAAUACUUAUAAGAAUUGAGUUUGCUUACGGUUUAUUAAAUAUAGUCUCUUAAAAGUUUACAUGUGGCCCAUACAAAGCUAACAUUACUCUGUUAUAGCAUUUCGGGCAUCCAACAAGAUCCUCUUCUUCACUUAUUGUUAGAACUAGCGCUAACAAAUUAAUUACUUAAUCACGGCUAAGUUUGGAAUUAAAAUCAAACUAAAUUAUCUAAUUGGUUGAGUUCGGUUUCCGUUUGUAUGGGCUACAUGAAAUUUUUUCUCUCAUCUUCUCUCGUCUGCUAAUCGCAUCUUUCUCUCUUUCGACUCUCUAAUUUCUCUCUUGGAUUUGGUUACCAAGCACAUAAAAUUGAAGCCACCAUCUCGCUCAUAACAAACAACUAGUCGGAUCCAUCAAACUGUUGCUGUCAUCUUGAGCCAUUCAAGUAACUUGAACACAUCAUCUUCUCGUAAAUUCUCUUUCAUUUUCGAAUUAAAGACAAGGUAAGGAUGUAAUCUUGACUUUUGUGUUUUUUGUGAUGACUACAGAAAAUGCUAUAUGAAACAAUUAGGGAUUUAUGUGCUAUAUAAUAAUAAUAAUAAUAAUAACGACAACAACAACAACAACAACAAGUAGUCAUUUAUGAAUUUUGAGUGAAAAAUUAGGGAUUUAUGUGCUUCUUCUUCUUCUUCUUCUUCUUAUUAUUAUUAUUAUUAUUAUUUUCCCUAUAUUAAACAAGUAGUCAUUUAUGAAUUUUGAGUGAAAAAUUCACUCGGCUGUGGCAGAUUUUGUGCCUUACAAGUAGUCGAUUUCACGCAUUCAUCAUCACCAUUACUAUGUUCAUUAUUAUUUGCUAUUUUUUUUUACUUUUUCUGCUGUUAUUGAUUAAAUUGACAUUAAAUUUAUGUCUUGUCCAUUACAAGACUUAACAAUAUAAUCCAGUUGUAACAUGGACACUACAGAUGAUACAAGUGCGCAAGACCUAGUCAGAGAGCGUAGUACACUUUUUGUAAGUAUAAACUAAUUGAUAUUUUUCGAGUUGUUAUGUUAGCAACCAUUUUAAAAACACUUUUGUUUUCGAAUUUUGGUUACGUUGAAGUGAAGGGGAUUGAGUUACCAUUAAAAAUUAAAGUAUUUUGGUCUUUAUAAACAAAGCGCUUUUGUGGAAUAGAUCUAAGAAGAUGCUAAUCUUCUUCAUAAAUUUUUUUUAAAAAAAAUUCUAUUACUCUUGGUGCAACAAAUUUCCUAGUCCCAAAACCUUGUCAUAGAAAAAAAAAGAAAAAAAAAAAGAAAACAGAAAAAGAGUGAAAAUCUCUUGGGUCAACCAAAUUACUCAAAUUCGUAAAAUAAUAUAAUACUUGAACCUUAAAAAUAAAAGCUCUAUAUAUUACUAUAUAAACAGUGAUAAACACAAUUACUAUCUAAGCCCACUCGAAAUUUUAUCAUACAGUCGUAUAUUUAUCACUUUAUGUACGUAUAUUGUAAUUUGGAUACGUUAUUUAAUUAUAUUUAUAUUGUGUAUAUUUACCACAUUAUGUACGUAUAUAAAAUAUAACGUAUAUUGUGUAAACUCUACUAUAAACAAUUAAUAUUUGGUCAUAUUUCUUUUGGCAAAUAACCCCCUGGGAUUUCUUCUUUAUCGCAACAUGAAAUUGAAGAUAUUUAAAAGGUUUUGAAACGUUAUUUUUAUUGAAAGGAGUUGCCAUUUUUAAUUUUGGUUGCAAAUAAUAAUUCCUUGGUGGUUACAAUAUUUUUAAAUAUCCCCAUUAAGGCUGUAGGGGCUACAAAUCUUCAUUCUAGAUCUGUAACAUAUGACUAUGAAUUAUAUAUAAAUGAGCUAUUUUUCUUUAUCUUUGGAUAUAUUAUAUACUCUAUUGUUUGCUCCGAAACUCUACGAUAAACAAUUAAUACUUUUCUUUGCAACUUCGACAUUCAAAGACUUGGUUUAUUCUUCAGGUAAAUCGUGCUUAGGAAGAAGAGCGGCAUGAAGAUAUUUGGGUUGUAUUUUGGAGCUGCGAAAUACGGACAAUAUCCGCCCGUGGGGAGGGCUCUUUGACAUUUGGGUUGUAUUUUGGACAUUUGUGAUUCUCCAUAGUACUGGCCGGAUUCUUCAACAAUAUCCUAAUACUUCUAAAGUCAAAGACAUGCUUCUCUUUCGUUGUAUAUAUUUGCAUCUCUAGGUGAAAUUUGUAAUUGGCUGAGGACAUUUUUAUUUUUAUAGAAUGGAAGAACAGGGACUUUACGUGGAGAAAAAAUUAAUUGUAGUGGGUAUUUUCCAUAGAUAUAGCUAUACAUGUAGCAUGGCGAGCUGAUGACGGGAGUUCAUUUGACGGAAUUAGCCCUUCAAUGGGUUGUCGUUAUAAACCAGAUGGCCAAUAUAAUCAUGCAGCCUAUUUCAGCAAUCUUGUUUAUUAUGAUAUUAAUUUUUAAAAUAUAGUUACAAUCUAGACACAUAAUUUGUGGACCCAUUUUAUCUACCACGUGAUUGGUAUUAUUACUUUAUUUGUCUUUUUAUGUACUAUUUUUGUUCUGUGGACCCAUUCAUGCACCCACGUUUCGAACAUGCAAUUUAACCGUAGCCGUUAAUCUUACCUAAUCAUAUGUGCGAUAAAAAUCUGCCGUCGAUCCGUUAUAUGUAAGUACCAACCAUGCGUUAUUGUUCGAUUUGCUACGUUACAAAAUCUUAUUGAUUAUAGACAUUGUAUAUUUUAAGAAUUUGUUCAGAAAAUAUUACGAUCUAUUAUCAUUAUGAAAUGCCCAUUUCACUGAACUAUCUUUGAUUAUAAAUUUUUUUUAGCAAUUCGAAGUGAAAUGAUAUUUUGAAGACUCAAUUAGACAUUUAGACAGGGCUGCAGUUCUGGCCUCAUUUUGUCCUGAAGCUCAGCCAUGAUCCUGCCAAAGUUUUGGAGCCAUUCUAGCCACAUUUUAUCUUACUAUUAUGCAUCACAUUUACUUUUGCGAUCUUGGAGACUGCGACUGGGUCAAACAUAUCCUCAAGCUCCGCUUUAACCUUACGAAAUUUGUGGACCCAUUUUACCUUCACGUGAUUGGUAUUACUACUUUUGUGGACAAGGCUACGUUGCAGUUGCAGACUCAGCUGAGUACCAACAGCUUUUCCUCUCUCCUGCAACGCGUGGAUGCUCCUUGUUUGUCUUCUUAUCUGCAAUUAUUUUCUCUGUGGACCCAUUCAUGCACCCACGUCUCGAAUAUGCAAUUUAACGGUAGCCGUUAAUCAUACCUAACUAUAUGUACGAUAAAAAUUCCGCCGUCGAUCUGCUAUAUGUAAGUACCAAUCAGGCAUUAGUUUUCUAAUAAGACUUUAUUUCUUUUAUUAGCUCAUAUUCAUCCAUGUGUUUAUCAUUCCUAGCUAAUUCGAUUAUUUAAAAUAACAAUGAUCCAUCAAUAAUUUUAUUCUUCGACCGGUUAAAAUGAUUUUUUUUUAUUAUUAUUUUGAUGGGGAGGUCUCAAUAAAGUUGAAAUAAAUAAAUUUUGGUCUUUGUCUCACACUUACAUAAACAAAGGAAAAAAAUUAUAAAAUUAUAAAAAAAUUAAGAACCAUUGUCAAUUAUGUAAAUUCAAAUAUUUAAACAAUCAAAAUUUCAUCACCUUGAGUUGAGAUUUUUUUUUCUUUCUUUUAUGUGUUAGAAAAUAAACUUUUGAUGGAAUAAUUUUUUUUAAAAAAAUUUUGGGAACUAGAAAAUCAUUUUUUUAAAAAUGACGUUGGGAAUUACAAAUUUUUAUUUCCAAGACUAUCUUUCAUUGGCCAUGUCCAAGACGAAAAAGACUAAAAGGAACUUUUGUAAUUUCCAAAAUUAUUGUAGCAAUGAGACGCGAAAGAAAAGACUGCACUUGAUAAUUGCGGUUAGUUUUCCCCUGUAAUCAAUUAUUGGCAUCGGAUGGGAACCACGUAAUUCGUGUAAUUGAUAUAAAGCAAUCUUUGAUGAAUCGUGACCCACUUAACAAGGAUCAAUACAUUCAGAAAUGAAUUCCACUCACCAAUUGAGAUACUAGUAUUAAUAUUAUAGGGAUUUAUACUGCUCUAAAGACAAUGUUACAGAGAAGCUGCUAUUACUCUCAUGACUCUGAAUCUAAGUGUUCAAUACGAGUCUAAAGACCUAAUUGCUCUGAUACAAGAAAUCAGUCCAGUCUUGUAUUACUAAACUUAUUAGCAGAUUUUUAGCUCCCAGCUAGCACAUGGGUAGCACCUGUAACGCUGCAUCAAUUAAUGAAAUUGAUACAAGAAAUUCUUUUAAUUUCUUGAAUACCGAAAAAGUAAAAUUACCAUUCAAAAUGGAGGAUAAAUAUUUAAAACUGUCUUAAACGCAUCUUAUUUGUUCAUACACACACAAGUUAUUAAACAACCAUGAAUGUUGAACUAAAGUGUCAAACUUAGUUUCUGGUUGUCAAAUUUUCUUCCUAUUGGACAUCUAAAUCGUUUUGCAGUCAGUAACAUAGUCAGAAAAUCAAAUUAGUGGGGUAGAAUGACUGACAUAAAAUAUAAAGAAAAAAAUUUACUGUGUUCUUUAUCUAUUUUUCUAAUAUUUUUAGCAUUCCUCCUUACAUAUGUCUAAUAGCAUGUUUAAUUUGAAGAAAUAAAAUAAGAAGAGAUGUGAGAUAAGGAGAAUGGGAACAAUAAAUAAGGAAAAAAGAGAUAUAAUUAUAUAUUAAAUUAAAUAAUGAAAUUGAGAAUGAUCCUAUUUUUUCCAUCAUUUUUUGAUCACUUACUCUAAGGAACGAGAACUUUAAGGAAAGACAGACAAAUCAUAAAGAUUGAAGAGCAGGAAUUUUUGUUCUCCUUUUUAAAUAAAAAAUUUCAUUUCAAUAGAUUUUUAUUAUUAAAUUAGUCUUUCCCUAAAUCAGAUCAAAUAUAUUAGAUCUUAAAUCUUGUUUUUAAUGAAAUUAAUUACGUUUUGGGCAUUUAAAUUAUGAAAUUGGACAAGAUUUGUGUGUGAUUUUAAAAUAAAUAUGAACUUGAAUUUGAUGCAUUUAAUUAAUCCAAAGAGGCAAAUUUAUAAUUUCAAUUUCUAAAUAAAACAUAUCAUUUGAAUUUUAUCAGUGGUUUCUAAUAAUAACUGCCAGGUCAUUAUAAUAAUUAUAAAUGUAAUAUUUGUUUUUAUAAUUAUACAGUUAUGAUCAAUGCUAUGCCGUAGUGCCGUUCCAACAUAGUCACGCCGUUGAUUUUUUAGACAGACCAAAGGCAACUGCUCCCACUAUUCUCUUAGCGGCUCUGCCACUAAUCGCAUUCUGGCCACAUUUUAUCUUUGCUAUUAUGCACCGUAUUUAUUGUUGCAAUCUGCGAGACUGCUACUAGGAUAUGCAAUUGCUCAAGCUCGCUUUAAUCUUACUUAAUUUGUGGACCCAUUCUGCCUUACACGUGAUUGGCAUCACUACUUUGUUUGUCGUUCUUCUAGCUGUAGUAUUAUUUAUUUUGUGGACCCACUCGUGCACCCACGUUUCGAAUACACAAUUUAACCGCAGCCGCUAAUCUUACCUAAUUUAUGUACGAUAAAAGCUCCGCCGUCGAUCCGUUAUACCUAAGUACCAACCAUGCAUUAUUAUUUGAUUAGCUACGUCACAAAGUCUUUGUUCGAAUAGUUAUCAAAGUUUGUUUGUGUGACUCAUGGAAUCUUUGUUGGCCAAUAAAAGGAUGCAUUUUGCUGUUUAAUAAGGCAAGCUCGAAAUAAAUCAAAUCUUAGUCAUACAAAAAUUCAAAUGAUAUGAGCCAUGAUCUCUUGCCAAGCUUCAGACAAGUUAAAUUAUAAGAGGAUCUUGAUAGGUUAAAUUAUGAACACACAUUUACGCUGUGUACCCAUUCAUGCAUCCCCGUUUCGAUUUUGCAAUUUAACGUAGCCGUUAAUCUUACCUAACCAUCUGUACGAGAAAAACUCCGCCAUUUGGCAGCCAAAGACUUGGUGCAGCCGGUUAACAAACAGUUGCACCAUAUUUUUUAAAAAAUAUAUAUUAAAAAUACAAUAUAAAAAUGAAAAAAUUAAAUAAAAUGUCAAAAAUAUUUUUUUAUAAUAUAAUUAAUAGCAAAAGAUAAAGAAAUUAAAUAAUAUAAUACAAACCCUAUAAUACAAUAUAAUAUAAUUAAAUAAAAUGACAAAAAAUAAAGAAAUUGAAAAUGAAAAAAAUAGUAUUUCAAGUUUAACGUCAGUUGUUGCAUGUCCGACGUCUCGAUUGCAUGUUUGACGUUAGAUGUUGCAUGUGUUGAAUAAAGCCAAAAUAAAGAAUAUUCUCGAAUAUUCUCGUCUGUUUCAUGUUUGACGUUGAAGUUGCGAACUUUACGUGAUAAAUUGCAUAUUUCGCGUGAAGUGUUACAAGUUUCAUGUUUAACGUCCGUUGCUGCAUGUCGGACGUCACGGUUGCAUGUUUGACGUAAUCUGUUGCAUGUCUUGAAUAAAGCCAAAAAAAGAAUAUUCCUAAAUAUUCUUGUCCGUUUCAUGUUUGACGUCGAAGUUGCGAACUUUACGUGAUAAAUUGCAUAUUUCGAGUGAAGUGCUGCAAGUUUUAUGUUUAACGUCAGUUCUUGCAUGUUCGACGGUUGGAUUUCAUGUUUGACGUACGAUAUUGCAUGUUUUGAAUAAAGCCAAAAUAAAGAAUAUUCCUGAAUAUUCUCGUCCGUUUCAUGUUUGACGUCGAAGCUGUAAAUUUUACGUGAUAAGUUGUAUAUUUCACGUGCAGUGUUGCAGGUUGCAUGUUUAACGUUCGUUGUUGCAUGUCCGACGUCCCGCUUGCAUGUUUAACGUUAGAUAUUGCAUGUUUUGGAUAAAGCCAAAAUAAAGAAUAUUCUCGAAUAUUCUGGUCCGUUUCAUGUUUGAUGCCGAAGUUGCAAACUUUACGUGAUAAUUUGUAUAUUUCACGUGCAGUGUUGCAGGUUGCAUGUUUUACGUCCGUUGUUGCAUGUCGGCCGUCCCGGUUUCAUGUUUGACGUUAGAUAUUGCAUGUUUUGGAUAAAGCCAAAAUAAAGAAUAUUCUCGAAUAUUCUCGUCCGUUUCAUGUUUGACGUCGAAGUUGCAAACUUUACGUGAUAAGUUGUAUAUUUCACGUGCAGCGUUGCAGGUUGCAUGUUUAAUGUCUGUUGUUGCAUGUCCGACGUCCCGUUUGCAUGUUUGACGUUAGAUAUUGCAUGUUUUGGAUAAAGCCAAAAUAAAGAAUAUUCUUGAAUAUUCUGGUUCGUUUCAUGUUUGACGCCAAAGUUGUAAACUUUACGUGAUAAGUUGUAUAUUUCACGUGCAGUGUUGCAGGUUGCAUGUUUAACGUCCGUUGUUGCAUGUCCGACGUCCCGCUUGCAUGUUUGACUUUAGAUGUUGCAUGUUUUGGAUAAAGCCAAAAUAAAGAAUAUUCUCGAAUAUUCUCGAAUAUUCUCGUCCGUUUCAUGUUUGACGUCGAAGUUGCAAACUUUACGUGAUAAGUUGUAUAUUUCAUGUGCAGUGUUGCAGGUUGCAUGUUUAACAUCCGUUGUUGCAUGUCGGCCGUCCCGGUUUCAUGUUUGACGUUCGAUGUUGCAUGUUUUGGAUAAAGCCAAAAUAAAUAAUAUUCUCGAAUAUUCUCGUCCGUUUCAUGUUUGACGUCGAAGUUGCAAACCUUACGUGAUAAGUUGUAUAUUUCACGUGCAGUGUUGCAGGUUGCAUGUUUAACGUCCGUUGUUGCAUGUCUGACGUCCGAUGUUGCAUGUUUGGGAUAAAGCAAAAAUAAAGAAUAUUCUCGAAUAUUCUCGUCUGUUUCAUGUUUGACGUCGAAGUUGCAAACUUUAAGUGAUAAGUUGUAUAUUUCACGUACAGUGUUGCAGGUUGCAUGUUUAACAUCCGUUGUUGCAUGUUUGACGUCCAGCUUGCAUGGUUGACGUUAGAUGUUGCAUGUUUUACAUAAAGCCAAAAGAAAGAAUAUUCUCGAAUAUUCUCAUCCAUUUCAUGUUUGACGUCAAAGUUGCAUACUUUACGUGAUAAAUUGCAUAUUUAACGUGACUUCUUGUGGGUUUCAUGUUUUACGUCUAUUGUUGCAUGUUGGACGUCGGGGUUGCAUGUUUGACGUUAGAUGUUGCAUGUCUUGAAUAAAGCCAAAAUAAAUAAUAUUCCUGAAUAUUCUCGCUUGUUUUAUGUUUGACAUCAAAGUUGCAUACUUUACGUGAUAUGUUGCAUGUUUGACGUAAAAUAUUAUAGGUUUCAUGUUUAACGUCAGUUGUUGCAUGUUGGACAUCAGGGUUGCAUGUUUGACGACUAAUGUCACAUGUCUUAAAUAAAGUAAAAAUUUUAAAAAUUUCCCGCCCGUUUCAUUCACACACACCUUUCCCAAAAUUUUAAAAUUUAAAAUGGCGGUUCACCAUUACCUGGAUGUCGGUUCGCCGUGUUUGUCUAGUAACUUUGCAAUUGCUAUUAGUUAACCUUUGCCCUUAACGGAUCUUUAUCUGCAAUCAUAUACCUCUCUGGAUGAUAUUGGUUCACCAUUAUCUAAAAAAAAGUUCACCGUUCUCUUCCAGAAUCGAAUAAGCAAAUACACUUCUUUCUGGAAGAUAUCGGCUAACCGUUAUCAAAUUAACGAUUCAUUGUUAUCUUGUACAAUUAAAUUAACAUGUUUCUGGAAACUGUCGGUUAACUGUUAGCUCAAUAAUGGUUCAUGUCACUGUCCAGAAUUUUAAACACUUUAAAACGGUGUACUAUUUAAAUAUUAAUUAAGAUAAUAUAUUAAUUAAAAAAUUAUGAAAAAAAUACAGUUAAUAGUAACAAAAAUAGAAUUUUAUAAAUUAUAAAUUUGUAAAACAUAAUAGAAAAUAAACAAAUAAUUUGCUAUGGAAUUGGAAUUAUCAAAUCUCUUGCGUUUUAAAAUAUUCAAAGCUCUUGUAAUAUUAUAGAGUUAUAUAUAUAGAGACAUGCGUGCGUGCGUGCAUACAUACACAUGAAUAUUUUGAUCUUAUGUUUGUGGUCAAACCCCAUUAAUUACUCAUUAGAUUCAUGUUAUUUUACUAAACUAGAUUUUAUUAAUAAAGAUACAUUAAAUUGAAUUAAAUUCAACUUAUACCCAAUAAUUAUAUUUGGGAAUUUAUCUAACUUACUAAUUUUUAUUUAACUCAUACACAUUAUAAAUGUGUUCAUUAAAUUACACAUAUAAAUUUAAUUGUCUAACUAUUUUUUACAUGAUUGAUAAAAUGAUGGCUUUAAAAAGAACUUGUAAUUUGAAAAAAAAAUCCAAUUAAUUAUAAUAAAAUUACAUAUCUAUCCAAUUUUUUCCUUAUUUUAGUCUAAUAAUAGUUUGAAAAAGAAUUUGAUAAUUCAAGUGAAAAUCACUAUUCUUAUUUGUUGCAUAAUAAUAUUUUUUAGGUGUAUUUUGUUUGAUUUUUUUUUAAAACAAACUAAUCAUGGUGGAUAUUUUAAAUUACUGAGUCACAAAAAUUCUAAGCUCAAUUGAAAUUUACAAUCGUUUAUCAAUGAAAAAAUGCUAGCAAAACAAAAAAAUAUUGAGGGAUAAAAAGAAAAUAUGGUAGAAAGAAAAAGGCAACAUCACUAUGAUCAUUGUUAUAAGAAAAAUAAAGCGAAAAUCUUCCCAGGGUAAAUCCAUAUGCUAAACAUCCAAAAUUGACGCCGUAGAAUUUCAAUAUCACCAAUAACACCCCCCAAACCUAAAGAUUGCAACAAAUUGAUGGCACAUUUGAGGGCUUAGAACCUAGUAUAUCUUAAAUCAUUUUGGAUUAAAUUAUAUCACAAUUUUUUCAUUUUUUUUAAUUGUGUGAAAAAAAACUACAGUACACUUAUUUCAAAAGAAAUUUGUUAAUGAAAAACAAAAUAAUGAAAAUCAAGAGCACUCAUUUAUAAGAGUAGGCUAUAAAAAGAAAAAAAAAAAUUAUUAUAAGCAUAAUCUCCCAAAAAAUAAAAGCAUCGUCAAAUUGAGUUACAAACUAAUUACAAUUUCAUUCGUAUUCGUAAACCAAGAGGUUGCGCAACAUCAAAAAGUUUCCAGUAAAACACUUAUGCCAGAUAAUUUAUAGAACCAAGCAAUAUCCGGUUGAAUUCUCCCCUGCAAAUAAUUAAAAAUUUCAAGUUAAUUGAUAAGAUAAAAAUAGCCGUUAAUCAUAAUAAGAAGCAACAGCAAAUCACAAUAAGAAGCAACAACAAAUUACACUAAAAAAUAGCAGGAAAAAAGCACCAAAACAACAAAUAUAACCAAGAAACAACAAUAAAAAAAUGCCCAAAAACAGCAGAAAAAGAUGCCCAAAACAGCAAUAAAAAUUACCCUAAAACAACAGUGAAAAAUGCCUAAAAACAACAUAAAUAAAUCCAAAACAAAAGUGAAAAAAUUGCCUAGAAACAAUAGACAAAAGCCCAAAACAACUAGAAGACUACCUAAAACCAGCAGAAAAAAUCUAAGAUAGUAGCAAAAUCUUCCACUGGUAAAGAAAGAUAUGAAAGAAAAGAAAUAAAACUCAUAAAGAGUUAAAGGUAACAUAAUGAAGGCUCAAAUCUGAAGCUCCAUAUGUAAGAACAAACAUCCCUAUACAAACACCCCUAUGCAUGUAAUAGUCAUAUAAAACAUAAUUACAAUUACAGUCCAUCCAGCAACUGUUUGCUUGUUUCAUUAUAAAUGUCUGCAAUAGUCAUAUAAAACAUAAUUAAACACUUAAGCAGAACCCAUAAGAUAAAGUACAAAAAACAUGGUAAAAGAAAUAAAUGUCACAGCAGAGUCCAGAGAGUAAUAUAUCAAAGAGUCCAGCUCAAUCCAACCUCCAUAAAUUUAAAUAUGAUGGUGAAAGGAUCAUAAUUCAAACACACUCCAAAGAGAUGUAAUUUACAUUAGAUAACACAGCUUUUCAUAUUCUGAUUAAGCACAUGCCAAGUUAAGAAUAUAUUUACUUUUGAAAUUAGGAAAAUUACCACACAGUGAAUUCAGGCACACCAAUCAGAGCAGCUAUUGAUCAAGCAAUACUAAAUUGCACCUCAUUAUUUGAAAAUUUACAAGAAUUGCAUAUUUUAAAGGUCUACAUGACCAAAUACAAAGGUUGCACAAUACCUUGAACUCGUUUUAUAAAAGGAUAACUGGCUGCUCCACCCUUUUUGGCAAGGCUGAGUUUAUUUCAAAGUGCCAACAUCAACAAGGUUUUGCCCACUAAUAGCCAGAGAACUCUGACUAAAUUGCAAUGAUACAUAAUCAAUUGAUGACUGAAGUGUGGAUAGAACUGGCACCUCAUCAGGUGGGACAUAUUUGAGAAUCAAUACAGAAAUAUAUAUAGAAAAAAGUGAUAAGAGAAAUAUAAAUACAAUUGAAAGGAACAAAUGGAUACCUCCUUGAUUCCCACACACAGGAGUCCAGUAACAAAAAGUACAAUAAUUGCAGCACAGGGAUCAACAAUAAUGUCAAGCCCAGGAAUUUCUUGAUGAGCCAAAAAGAAAGGAAGAAUGCACAACCUAUAAUCAUUAAUAACAACAACAUAAGAACAUAAACGUUUAAAUUGCAUAGGCAAUUGUAGACCUCCAUCAUAAAAUAUAUGAAUUCAAAUCAAUACAAAGAUGAUUAGUUGUCAAAAAGGUAACUCAUAGAAAAUAAGGGAAAGGAAAAAGUAAACAAGCUAAAUGAACAAACAAUACAAUUAAACCAUUCCAAUUUAGUUGAUAGUGCAAAACACAUAUGACUCAAUAGUAACAACUAAAGUAAAUAAAUAUACAAUCAAAGCUCGAUAAAAUUCACCAGACCAGAUUCGGGUAUAUGCCACGAGGAACAGCAGACCCGCCAAUUGUGUACUCAAGUAUCAGAGCUAGCCAAUCAACCACCUAACACUGCCAAAAUACAACAUCAACUAAGUUAAAUCAAUUUAUUAGACCAAAACAUUAAUAACGAUUACUAUGCCCCAGCUAAUCACUAGUUUAUCCCACUUUAGAAACAAGAUCCAAUUAUAUGAAUCAAUAAACUACAUCUCUAAGAAAUGACUAUUACGAGUUAUACCAGUAUUAAAGGUAACAAGGACUUACCCUUCUCCAACACAUAUGUAUGAAUAAUGAUAGGCACUCCCAGCAGAUGGCCAACGACUUGCAAGCUCAGCAUAGCAAAAGGCUGAAAAAGCAGAAGCUAUUCCAGCUAUAAGGAAACGAAAGGGUGAGUGCCGGUCCUGAAUGCUCUCUAGCAACUGUUCCAACAAGAAUAUAUGCUCCAGCCCCAAGUGUUGAGUCAACACCUAACCAGAGUUUGUACAAGAAAUAAAUAGUAAGAUCCAUCUUAAAAAAGAAAUUCCGGAAUUUAUUAUAUCACUGCCUAAUAAAGAAAUAUUGAUUAUAUGAACUGCAAUCAAAAACGAAAAUUUUUAGAGCAAAACCUAUCACAAUAAAUAAGCAACUAAUCCAAGCUCCAAGACCAUAGUCUACCCAAAACACUUAGCCAUUUAAAGAGAGGGGAGGGGGAAAGCCUAAUAAUCACACACACCCAUCAUGAAAUCUUGAGUUUCCUGACGAGAAUCUAACAAAAUGCUCAAGAACACUUAAAGCCAUAGAAAAAAAAAUAUAAAAUUAAAUUCAAGAUCUGUUUCAUAAGAAUUUAACCAAAAAUCCAAAUUCUUAGAUAUUCAAUAUGGAAAGCAAAAACCCAUAUUCUUAAAAAUUAGAAAUUUAACCAAAAUAAAAAAGAUUUAGAAAGAAAAAUAUCUUUUGUUCAUUACGAGUCAUCUUCCCAUUGAGCUCAUGUAGGAUUUUGAGAGAGAGAGACCAAAUUUGAAAAAUUAGUGCUUUCAGAGAGAAAUGCAAAUUCCAAAAAUAAGAAAUAAGACAAAAUAAAAUAUAAAAAAAAUACCUUUUAUUCAUUCGGCGUUGCUCCCCAGCGAGCUAAUGUACGGCUUCAGGAGAGAAAGAUCAAGUUUGAAAAGUUAGGGCUUUGAAGGAGAAAGCCAAAUUUUAAAAAUUAAAAAUUUAAUAAAAAAGAAUACCUUUAUUCAUUCUGAUUCAUGCCUCCCACUGAGCAAUGUAGGGCCUGAAGAGAGAUAUCAAAUUUGAGAAUGAAAAAAUUAGAGAUAUCAAAUUUGAGAAUGAAAAAAUUAGGGCUUGAACAUAGAUAGGCCAAUUUUGAGAAUGAAAAAUUUAGGGAUUUGAGAGACCGAAUUUGUCAACCAGAGAUUUCAGAGAGAAAAUAUCAUCGUUGAGAGAGCGAUUAGAUUUUAGAAUGGAAAAAUUUUAGGGAUUUGAGAGACGAAUUUGAAAAAAAAAAGGAGGAUUUAAAUAAAUGAUAGGUGUAUUAUUACCUAUCAAUCAUGACAAUAUCUUAAUCUGGUUUAGUUCAACUUAUAAAAUUUCUUGAGAUGUACAAGAGAUCUUUUUGUUUACUUUUGAGUUAAGUAUUUUUUUAAAAAAGGAAAUAAAUCAAUAAAAGUUAUUGUGUGUGUCAACAUAUUGGUUAGAUUAGUCUAUACACGUCAGUUUUAAUUACGAUCUCUCUUCCUAAAUAUUUUAUUUUUUGAAACAAACUCAAAAAUUUAUUGUAUAAAAAACACUAUCACUUUCAAUCAUAUGAUGGUUACAUUUUAGUCAUUUAUUCAUAACAUCCUCCUGAUCCUCCUUUGAGAAUAUUAAAAUGUGUCAUUCUGUAACCCAGAACUAUCAUUUCUUCCACCUCUACGAUAUCUUGUAAUGUUACUUGCAGCUUCAUAAGCCACAGAAACAUCAUCAACCUUUUUUUUUUUAGGAAAGUAAUAAGAAAAAUAAAAGCUGCAUUAUUCUAUUUAUGAUCAAUAGAAGAAUUCAAGUGACUGGAGAAAAUUCAGAUUGUUCAAAAUGGGUUCUCAAACGAGAUAAGCCUCAGGUAGUAGACCUCACCAACAUCAGUACCAGACUCAAUCCAUUGAAUCGGUCUCGUCUUAAGCCUAACAGCUCCCUUCUAAUAUAAUCUAGUGAGAACGGUGAGGUGCUUGGUAUAUCAUACACCAAAAAUCAACGAUGCUUGGACUUUCAAGAAAAAGAGAAAAACAAAUGCAUGCACGGGGAAACGUACUAAUAAAAAGCAAAUCAUAUAAUUUACAAAUUAUUAUAGGCUUGUAGCCAUAAGAUCGAGAGAAACUAAAACAUUUCUUG
rnacentral:lncRNA from 1 species